rnacentral:lncRNA from 1 species
AGUGGUUAAAAGAUAGAACAGUCUAGCCAAGUGCCAUGUCUCUUAUUCUUGAUCAGCUAUAGCUCUGGGGUUUUUGCAGAUUUUCAAAUAAAACUCAGAAAUUCCUUGUAUGACUCUCUCAGAUCUCUCUUUUGUGGUAUCUCUGGAUCCUUACCAAGGCAGUGAUGGUAUAUGCCUUCUCUCAAGAUAUGUAGUAUUUCUGGUACAAAGCAUAAUGACAUUGUCUUCUCUCUCACCCUACUCUAAUAAGGCUUUUAUAUCUAGAGCUCAUAGGUGGGAGAUAAAGUAUACAUACUUACAAGACAUUUAUUGUAUAGUCAAACCAUGGAUCCAAAGAAACAAAUCAAUAAGCCAAAUCAAGAUGUGCAUGUGUGGCGAAUGAAUGGUGUAUGGUGAUGAUGGUGAUAACAAUGGUGGUGGAAGUCUAAUUCUACUUUUGCUCUUUGAGGGAAUACAUACCUUCCUUGCUUUUUGAAACUUUGUGAGGAGAAUGAGAUGCUCUUCUUUUUCUUUUCUCUCAGGUGGGUAUCUUGUACCCCUAAUUCUACUGUCGGACACUUGUCCAUUUUUACCUCUCGUCUCACUUUUUCUUUUCUUUUGAGGUUCCGAGCACUUGCUCCUUUUUAUUUCCUCGUAUUAUAUUUUUUUAGAGCACUCAUCUCUUGAGAUAAUAUAGCAAGUGGUAGUAACAAGAUAACUUGAGCAUUUAUUUCACAAGGGAAAAACAGAGAUAUUUUUGGCUAUUCUCUCCCGGAUUAGGAGUAGAAUAUUUUUGGGUGAUUCUGGAGAUGGAAAUGGAUGGAUAUAUGUGGAUGGUACUUCCGGAGUAGAAGUAGCAUAUAUGAGUGAACGUGCAAGUGAAAUCUUGAUUUAACCACAUGACAAGCUCCUAAGGGUCUACACAGCUUGACCACACUCAAUGCUCAUAAGCAGUAAAUAUUAAAUGUGUGGCUCAAAGUCUAGCAAGCAUGUAUAUAUGGCUGUGGUAGGAAUUUAAACUCUCAUCAUACAGGAACUCAUCAUGCAACAUUUUAAAGAUUUUUAAGAUAAAAUUCUCUAGAAUUCUAGCAUCUCUAGGAACAGAUAAACAACAGCUCAACCUUCCCAUAUCAUAUCCGUUAACAACUUAGACUUCAGAUCAAGUUUUCAUCCCACAAGUUUAGAUCUAGAGCAAGCUUUAAAUUAUAACAGUUAUGUCCAAACUUGGGAGAGAACUUCAAAUUUGCAAAUUAGGCAGAGCAACUAUUUAUCAUAUCCAUGCUUAAGUUUUAUUUAGAUAUAGAUUAGCAUAGCCACUUUAUUUAUUUAUCAAUCACACUAAGCAAAAGACAUAUAUAUAUAUAUAUAAGCACAAACUCUUUAUUUGGUUUUCCAUAGUUUAUGUGUAUUUAUAUUCUAAAAUAAUAUAAGUAUAAAGAUAGAUAGAAAUACUUAUCGAGAUAAAUGGGGGUGCUCUCCCCUAAGCUGAAUUUUGACGUAAUUUCUCUUGAUGUAGCUAGCAGGUGGCAGAGGUGUAUUUGAAAGUCAGCAGCAUUGUGACAGCGAUUAGAAUGUCCUCCGUCUGCCAGUCUUCUUGAUUCUUAAAUUCUGUGGAGUUCAAAUAGACAACAAAGCUUGUGGAACUGGUUAAGUGUUAGCAUAAAUAUCUAGCCUUUAUCAUGUUGAGACUCCUUAAUAAAUUUUACUCCCUAUUUUUAUAUUUUUAUUUUUAUAGAGCAGAAAAAUAAUUAUUUUAUUUCUAUGCCACCACAGUGAAUGUACUUAUGGGUUUUAUGCCUCUCGUCUACUCACAUGGGGCUUACUGUUUUUCACAUUUUUAUUUUCUUUUUAAGAUAGUAUGAACUUAAUUAACUAAGUAAACUAUUUAAAAUAAUUGAAAGGGAAAGGAUAACUACUAAGUUUACCUCUUGGCAAGGCGUUCGGUGUUUUUUAAGUCCUCCGAACGGGACUCUCCAUUUUCUUAAUCAUCCUGAGGUUCGUUGGGUGGCGAAGUCGGUACUUCCGGCAGCGCCUCCUCUUCAUGUAUAGUUAUCUUCAUUUUCCAUACCUGACUCGGUGCUUUAGUCUCCUCUGGAUAAUUCUGUUUAAACUCAACGUCUUCUGAUCUUAUCAGUUCUCCUUCGUAGUCUGCCCAUCCGUCCUUGAUGAUCUGCCUCCUCUGGUUGCGGUUGCGUCGCUUUCUUACCUGCUUAGAUUCUUCAACGAUAUAGUUAGGGUCAGUAAAAUAACGACAUACCUUCUCUGAGGGGAAGUGCAUAUGGACUUCUCCGGUUCUAAUGUAGAUAAUUGCUUUAACGGUGCUGAGGAACGGUCUUCCAAGGAUGAUGGGUGGAUCAUACUCGUCUUCUCCCAUGUCAAUAACUUGAAAGUCUGUGUAGACAAAGUGAUCGUCUAUUUUGACUGGGACAUCAGUUACUAUUCCUUUAACUUCUCAAAAUGUCUGAUCUGCCAUCUAGAGUUGAAUGUACGUUGGUCUUAGUGGCAUGGUUCCGAACAAGAGCUGAUAGGUGACUGCGGCCUUUAUGUUGACGCCCGAUCCGGUGUCACAAAACGUCUUGUAGAAGUUGUAUCCAUUUAUGGAGCAGUAAAUGCUUGGCAUUCCUGGGUCGUCCUUCUUGGUCAAAAGCGGUGACUUAAGUUGGUGAUCUUGGCCUCCAUGAACUACAGUGACCAUCUUAGCUGACUCGGUCCACACUUGCUUGUUCCUGUUCCUCCUGUUGGUCCUCUUUCUUGAUUCAUGUCUGGAUUGAUCUGGAAUUUGUGUAGUCUUGUUCUUGAAGAAAAAUGUCUCCUUCCUCCCUUUGACAUAGAAACUGAUAGGCCUCCCUAGGAAGAAAAAAUAGCUCCCGUGGUGUUCAAGAAUGGCCUCCCUAGGAUGAUAGGUGCUCUCUCAUCAUUUCCGGUCUCUACCACUACGAAGUCUGCUGGGGCAUAUAAGGUACCAACUCGGACGCAAAGGUUCUUCAAUAUUCCUUUUGGAAAAGUUAUCGUCUGAUCUGCAAACUGCAAACACAUGGUUGUUUCUAAUAAAGGAUAUGUAAAGAAUUUUUCAUAGAGUACCCUGGGUAUAAUGUUGACGCUGGAGCCAAAGUCGCAGAGUGCUUCUGGAACGUCCACCAUGCCAAUGGAGAUCGGGAUGACGGGGCGUCCUGGAUCGCCUCUCUUGACCGGCAGAAGGUCAGUAGAGAAUUCAGUGACGGGGUUACUCCAAUUACCUGCAUCAAACAUGUCUACAAGAUUUGCAGAUUCUAAUCCUUCCGGUUGUGAUGGUAUACCGGGGUUAGUAGUAGGAACAGCAGCAGCUAUUUGAUUUAACUGAGAUUCAAUCAUUUUAUUAAAGCUAAUUUGAUUCUUGAUGGCAAUAGAGAAAUUAUCCAUUCUAUUAUUUAUAUUUUCUAGCAUUUUAUCAUUAGAUGCCAAUUUCUUAGAUAGGUUAUCCAUUAGCUUUCCUUGAUUAGACACUAACUCUCUCAAAGGUGGAAAAUUACUAUUAUUGUUGUAAGAAUUGUUACCUUGAUAAUUACCUGAGUAGUUAGGCCUCUGUUGAUUCCAACCUUGAUUUUGUUGAGGACGGUUGUAGUAGUUGUUGUUAUUGUUGAUGUAGUUCACAUCCUCAAGUAUCUCAGGGCAGUGAUUGCCUGAGUGUCUAGUGUCUCCACACUCCUCACAAGUCAUGUGAGAGUCGUAGAUGUGCAUAACUUCUUUCUUGUCUCCAGCUCUAUCCUCAAGCUUCUUCAUGAGCAGGUCUAGCUUUUUAGACAGCAUGUCUACCUCCUUGAGCUGAUGCAUACCUCCACCUCUCUUGCGUGUCUGGGUCCUCUCUUCAUUCCAGCUUUGGUUGGACGCCAUCUUCUCCACAAGAGCUGUGGCUUGUGGUAUAGUAAGUGAUAAGAAUGCUCCUCCGGCUGCAGCAUCCAUGGUUUCUCGGGCACUGUUGCCGAGCCCAUGAUAAAAUGUCUGCAUCAAUAACCAACUCUCCAUUCCAUGAUGGGGACAUUCUAGGAUGUAGUCUUGAAAGCGCUCCCAUGCUUCUGGAAUAGAUUCAUCAUUUUGUUGCUGAAAACUUGUAAUCUUCCCACGGAGAGCAUUGGUCUUGCCCAUGGGAAAGAACUUUGCCAGGAAGUUUGUUGAGCAGAGUGCCCACGUAGUAUUCUUCUCCUUUGUAGCGUAGAACCACUGCUUCGCUCUUCCUAACAGUGAGAAUGGGAAGAGGCGAAGUAGUAUAGCAUCUCUGGAAACUCCUGAUAUGGUGAAUGUGUUGCAAAUCUCCAGGAAGUGUUGUAAAUGAGCACUAGCAAAUUCGUGUGCCUUCACACAGAACUGGUUGGAUUGCACCAUGUUGAUAAGUCCAGGCUUGAGCUCAAAGUUGCCAUCGAUCUCUACAGCAGGUCCAGUGCGGAUGUUGUCCGUAGUGGGAGCUGAGAAUUUGCGGAUUGAUUUGUUCGCCAUGGCUUCGAACUCUGAAGACAAGUUUCGGUGAUCUUCUUGAUUGGAUGAAGCUUCUUGCUGAAGUGUUGAUGAUCUCUUCUUGAGCUUUGCUCUCGUCUUCUUGAAUAAUGCUUCGGGAUUGUCAACAAAAUUUCCUGGAAGAUGUCUUCUAUUCAUACAUUCCCCUGCGUAAGAUAAAAUAGAAAAAUAUCGGGGUAAAACUGUAUGAGAGAAUAGAUAAGCUCAAUCAUAUUAGUGAUGCGAAUGAUAACUCAAAAUCUUUUAUUCUAUUCCUGAUUAUUAAUCAACCUUCCCCGGCAACGGCGCCAAAAAUGCUUGUUGGGUAUUCUUAACAUCAUUACCAAAAGUAGACUAAGUUCUCUAAAUCUAGUAACGGUGCCAAAAAUGCCAAACCUAUCCCUCACACCACUUAAGCCAAGUUGUCAUCGCCAGCAUGAUAUAAGAGACGCGGUAUUGAAAUAUGCAAUUGCUCUUCUAAAUAAAUAAUGAAUGGGAUCUGCAAGCGCACAGAUUAAUACCGAUGUAGCAUUUUAAUCGGGAAGUAUUCCAGGUAUCGUUAUUUAUAUUUUUACCACUGGGAAGGGAUUAGCAAUCAUCACUAUUGAUUACAGAAUAGAAUAUGAGAUUGAGCAUCUAUCAUUGCAUGUAUAAUUGAGAACAUUUAUCUAACUCUUUGUCACAGAACCGACCAAACUAUAAGAGUUCAAGUGCAGAAACGAUCGCCAAGCAAUCAAGUUUCUAAACUUGAGCCCAUAUAAUCCCGGUAGUCAAUCGAAAUCACGAAGGACUUCAAACCAACUCGCAACAAACCAAGAUCGUAAUAGUUCAACAUAAACACAGCGGAUGUUACAUAGUCAUUCAUUGCCGGUGAAGCGGCACCACAUCGGAGUCAUUAAGUUAUUACAACCCAAGUUCGAAGUAGCGGAAGCAAAAUAGUUACACACACUUGUUCAAAGUUCAGUCCACAAGUUUUUAUUACUGCCAGAGUCUAUGCCAUCCUUCCAAAAGCAUCAGAGACGAGAUUGUUAGAGAACCAUGCCCAACGGUUAGUCCUCAUCCCCAGCGGGAUGGAGACAGGUCUUGCAGAAACCGUCAUAGAAGAUGUCAUCUGCAACAGGUGGGAAUAAACCCUGAGUACGAGAAUGUACUCAGCUAGACUUACCCGUCUAGUAAAACAUAAAAGACACCAAGGAUCAUGCAAGGCUACAUAUCAAGUGGAGCUGGUUGACUCACUUUUUGCUAAAAGCUUAAAUUGAAUUAUUUCGAGAGCAUCAUAUUUAUUUAUCAUCAGCCUACCACUAGAUUAGCACCUGUACUACAGCACAUCACUUGAUUAUUACAAUCAAUAAUAACCAUAUCAAAUUCAUCAUAUGUUCUUCCUGCUAUCAUCCUUUUCAUGAACCAAGUUCAUUAGUGACGGCUACGUUUGCCGCUGCUCUGUCAAGUUCUCACUAACCGGGAGAGACGGCGAUUUGAAUCGAAUUCCUAUCCAGCUGGAGGGUUAUUCCUAGCACUCACCCAAGCAUCCCCUGCCGGAGAGCCAACGGGUCACCUUUGGUACAACUCAGGAAUCGCGGCUCCGAUCAGCGCCGCACUCCCAGGGCUACCACUCUGCCAGGGAGGUCAGGAAUUUUAACUCACCUGCCUUUGGACUUACGCCAAUGGUCCCCCGCACACCGCACUUCCUCCGGUAGUGCACACUUUAUACUUGCCGGUCUUCUGGCCUGAGUCAUACUACUCGGCUUCGCGGUCGGAACGAGUUAUCCGGCCAACUAAGUGUUAGGCAUGCGUUCAACAUGACAAGAGGACGUACAACAAUCGGUCCUUAGCUGCCACAGACGGAGUUACUACAAACUUGCAAAACUCCGCCCGACUUAAGUCAAUUUAAUCAGGUUCCAUCCACGAUAGCACAUAUAGACCAUCGUGAUACGACAUAACCCUAUAUCGCGCAGGUGACAGGAUAUCACCCGACUUCUACCGAUUAAAGCAUGGCUAAGCUGCUACUCGAUCCUAACUCUACAACCAGGGUGUGUUGAGUUAUCUGGACAAGGAUAGAGUAGAAUGCAGCAACAGUUUCAUCACAACUCCUAUACGUAAUGCAUCAAUAGAUAGAACAUAUUAAGUGAACUUUCGAAAAUAAAGGGAGACUUAGAAUGCUCCGGGGCUUGCCUUUCACGAACGAUGCCGGCUCGUGAUUCGGGCACUCAACUUCUUCUUCGGGCUCCUCGAGUCCGGCUUGCUGGACCUCCACCUCCUGACUGCCCUCCUGACCUUCGGGAUUCGCCUGAAGCUCGUAGGAGGCUGUCGCGUCCAAUGCACCUAUUGCAUGAUCGAAUAAUAAGAAGAUGCACAUGCUAAAGAUGAAUGCUUGAUAACACAAGUAACUCACUGGACACUCAUUUACGGAGUAAAAGUUACACUAGCUCACAAAAGUAAAUAAGUCAACUCAGCCCACAACCUACCAUGAUACUUAAAACAGCAAGCAACACAAAACAAGUAUACUCAGUAAUUAAAUCAUAACUAAUGAUAUACAGGUCCAACAAACAUGAGUGAAGACAUUCUGGAAAGCUUAUGAAAUUGUCUACAACUCAUCUUUAAACAUGACAGCAAGAUUAAAAUAUUAAACUAGUCAUUUUAAACAAAGUUCCAGGUUCUGUCCCAGAAAAACAGAGAACCCCUAUUUCUGGAACCCAACUUGGAACAGCUAUAACUUUUAAACUACUUGGCCAAAUGACCUCAAAUUUAAACCACAGCUAGUUCAAAAAGUUUAGAACAACUUUGAUUUAGACAAGUUUCACAGAAAGUCAAGUUAUCAUUAAGUAACAGUUAAAUUGCUCCCUUGCUGUCCAGAACAGCAUUUAACCCUAAAGUUAAUUAUUUAAUAACAUGAUCAAAAUACAAACCAUGCCAACCACAUGGCCUAUGAGCACAAACAUAUUACAAGGUUACCAGAACACCAAAUGAAAACCCCCAAACCUUUACUUGACAAGGCAUUUAUUAAUUAAUCCUAAAUAAGAGCAUAAUUACAAGAUACUAGUCCAAGUGCUCAGAAAAAUCUACAAAAAUUACAGAAGCACAAGUAUGACAUCAGAUCAUCACCAUAAAAAUUUCAGAGCCAUUGCACAUACCAAAUUAAAGAUAUGUAUUUAACAUGGGCCAAGGUGCUUAUUUCAUAAAUUCCAAAACAUGACUUAUAUGAUGCCAAACAACAGAUGUCAGAUUAUUUACGACAUAGGAAUACCAUAAACAAGUUUACUACCAAAGUAGAGCACCAGCAUAAGCACCAAUUAUUUUAUAUAAUUUAAUCAAGGAAACAAGCCAAAUUUCAACCAUAAAUUACAUAACAAAGCUGCAUGCUCCAAAAAUAAUGAAAUAUUUACCAAAGCACUCUCAUACCAUACAGAGACUACCAUAAAAUUUUUAGAGUAAACUAAGCAGUGUAACAAGUGAUAUACAUUUAUCCAUGAAUAAAAAGAUUAAAUCCUUAAUAAAUAAUUUCUCAGAAAACAUGAUUCAUUUUAUAUUUUUAUUAAAUACUAGCCAUCUCAAGAAGCAUCACAAAAUUUGUUUCACAAUUUUUGGAUCUCAGAAACAGGAGAUAUGAUUUUUGCAAGAAAGCCAAAAAUCAGGAUUUUGAAUAAAAGAAAAGGAGGGAAGGAGAGUGUCGCUGACAGUGGGUCCCAUCUGUCAGGUUCUUCUUCCUCACGACCGAGGCGACUUUCGCCGGCGAUUUCUCCGCGACGGCGAGGUCUCCGGCCAAACCAAGGGCACCAACGUGAUCCCCACACUCUAGCGACUCGAUUGAUCCCACUUUUCCCACGGCGGAGCCACCGGAAGGGACUCACCGUCGACGAUGGCGGCUCGGCGGAGGUGCUCGGCGUUACGCCGGAGCCCUCAGGCCGGUAGAGCGCAACCUAAGGCCUUCUACAGCACCAGCGGACUACGGCGAAGCUUCCUAGGUACACAUCUUGGCCUGGAUCCUCGUGGAACACGCUGGCCACGAGAGCACCCAUCUCCGGCGGAAGCACGGCGGCGCUGCGCACCGUGUCCGGCGACGGAGAGCUCGGUAGAGCAUCCACCAAGUGGCGCAAAAGCUCGCUAAGGACCUAAGCUACCUCUAGGACCUAACCAGAGACGACGAGAGGCUUCACAGGGCUCGGCAUUGAGUUCGCCGGAGAAGAAGGUCACGGCGACCCGAUUUGGGGGAAGAAGGAAAUGUCGGCUCACCGGUGGGUUUCUCGGCGAGUUAGUGGGUGGAGAUUGGAGAGCGGUUCACGGCAGAGCUUUGGGUGAAGUUUGGUGGGCAAUGGCGCAGUAGGGAACGCGCGCGAGCUCGCCGGAGUAAGCUCGCGAAGGAGAGCUCCCGGCGGCCGCGUUUCAGGCGAGAGGGGCGAGGCAGAGCGAAGUGGACGCGUCCACUCUGCGCGGGGCGACGCCGUGGAGGUCAUGCACGCGACGAGAGCUGACAAGCGGGGCCAGGAGUGGCGUACGGGCGACAAAUGGCGACGGAGCUCUGCCGCCGGUUGGCCUCGUCGACGAGCUCGGGUUUGAUUCAGAAGAAACGAUGCUUGACUGAUAGAGCAACUUCACCGAUGAUUAUCUCCCAAACCAGAGCGAAGUAGAGGAUGAUGCAGUUGACAAAGUUGGAGUUCCAACCGAGAUCUACAACUUUGUCAAUUGGAGCAAAAGCCAAAUCGGCCUGGAUUGAAUGAUGUAGAGUUUUCAAAAUUGAUCAAGCAAACUGGUUUCGUCCAAGACUUAGAAAAUUUUCUAAGUGUUGGAAACAGCCCCAAAUCUGCCUUGUGGGCCAAUUUUGGGCUAUUUGUAAUCAUUUUCAUGAGAUGGCCAUAAAACAACUUUUGUUCCUUAUAAAAUUUGCUACAACUUUUCUGUAGGAAGUUUUGACAUGCAAACAUUUUAUGAAACACUUUUUAAAAGCCUAAGCAAAAGAGGUUUCUAGGGCCUAUUUUCAUAAGUAUGACUUAAAAGCAUAUUUUGGAGAAGUGACCAACAUGAACAUUGUUCCCAAGGCCAAGUUAAGCAUAGAUCAACUAAUUAACAAGGCAUUAAGCAUAAACACAAGCAUGGUUCACUCAAUCAUAAGCAUAGGAAGACUAUUUAAGCAAUUUAAACCACAUUUUUGCAUAGAAUGACAUGGCUCAAGAGAGAUGAUGAUCAUGGAUGCUUUGAUUAGAUAAUGAUGCUUAUGCUAUGCACAUGAUUAAUGCAACCAUAACACUGGGGUGUUACACUCUUCAUACAGGGAUAAGUGUCACAUAAAAGAUAUAUGAAGUAAUAAUAGUGACAAGGAUAACUAAUCUGAUCUAGCCACAUAAUAAAUAUGAUAAGCACCUCAAUUAGAUACUCUAGAAAGUCAUUAGCAUGGUAUUAGAACGAACUACAAGAAUAUUCCCUAAGUUAUUCUCAACUAUAUAGUCUAGCAUAUCAUAGUUAGUGCAAGCAUACUUAGCAAUCAUUGCGAGACAAGACUACGCCCAUGCAUAGUGAUAUUAGCAAGGUAAAUGAGAAACAUAGCAAUCACUCCCCUGUAAUAAUGUUGCUCUGCCAGCCCAAUACACGAGAGGGGGACUAUAUAAGAAUCAAUGAAGCUGUCACUAUCACGAACCACCCCACGAUCUGGCAUAUUGGGUACAAUCGCAGAUAAAUACGGUAUAAGCACCACGCCUACACAAUAUCUAUCAUUUACCCAUGGAUCUGAUGGAUAAACGCUAUACGAUCCUAAGCAUGUAUAUAGAUUGAAUCUAACUAAGCCAAGUACAUAACUAUGAUAAACUAAGAACAAUAUAAUCUUGAAUAUAAGCAAGUAGAGCAAAGUCAUAAGCAAUAUAUUGAAGUAGAACAAAGUCAUAUUCAUAAUAUUGAAGAACAAAGAUAAUUAGAAAGUAAUUAGAAGCACAAUUAGAGAAUUACCAAGAAUCCUCUUGACAGAUCCGGAAACCAAUCGAAGAUUGACUCCUUCUAGUUCUAAUCCUAUGUAGCUAUGCUAAUCUAGAUAUCUAAUUGAUGUGGUGGCUCUAAUCUUGAUCAGAGGCUUCUUCUCCCUUGAGGAACAAUGAAUUAGGGUUGAGAGGCUCUCUCCUCCAGGGGCCAGGGGGUCUGGUUUUAUAGUCCCUCCAAGUGAAUAUGGGCCAUUGGAUCAAACCGACAUAGAUUGUAUGGUUUAGAUUCAUCCUUUAGGUCGGUGGAGAUCUCCCACGAAGCAGAGUCCUGAUUGGACUUAGGGAGGGGACGGGCGCCCAGGGCAGGAGGGCGGGCGCCCUGCCUCUGGCCCCGUUUCGCCUCCGCUUCGGUCUCGUGGCUUCUGGAGUGUUCUAGAUGUAAGAUAAUUGCGCGGCACGUUAAUAUCUCUAUGUAAUCCCGACGUGUGGGCCUUUCUUUCGUAUUUCCUGAUAACCCCCUGCAGAAAUAGACAAACACCAAAACUCGUGGAAUUCUGUCAGAUAAAACCCUAAGUUUGGAUCUUGAUUUCAUUUGGAUCCUUUUCUUUAUUUAUUUGAUAAUUAAAUUUGAUACUUAAGGACCGUCAACAGUCCUUUCCUUAUGUAUCUUGGAGUUGUGAUAUGCUCUUUCACGCCAUUCAUCCAAAUCUAACAGUUGCAUUUUUCUUUUCUCUCCCGUAGCUUCAAGGUCCAUGUUCCAUCUUCGGAUUGCCCAGUGAGCUUUGAAUUCAAGCUCCACUGGCAAGUGAUAGGUCUUGCCGUAAACAAGUUGAUAUGGAGACAUCCCAAUGGGUGUCUUGUAUGUUGUGGUGCUUCAGUUUGUCUAGACAUUUGAGGAUGAUAUGUAGUGCUUCUACCCAAACUAGUGCCUAUUGAUGGUAGAUAACUGCUAAUUUUAACUGUCAACUAGACAUGAAAAUGGAUAUAUAUGCAAACACCUAGUAGAUAUAGGGUUAUCACUAAUAGAAUUCCAUGAGUUUUGGUGAAUGUCUGUUUCUGCAGGGUAUCAGCUGAAAAUAACCAAAGAAGCUCCACAUGUUGGGUUUAAAUAGAGAUAAAGGGUGAACAUCUACUUUUCUAUAAUCUAGAAGGUUCGAGGAGGCUCCAGAUCAAAUGGGAAGUGAAUCGGGUCCAGUAGCCAGGCGGCCGCCUGCCCCACUACCUUAGCCAAUGAGGCUCCACCUUGCGGAUCAUUCCUCCAACACCUUUGAGAAGUAAUCAUGACUGUUUGUUUAAGUCACUUUGAUCGGAGGGCUGUGAUGCUUCCUAGGGGGCUGUAAAUACAAGCUUGACCCCUCCUUGGGGAGAACAAUCUCUAUGAGUUGUAGGGGCGUCCCUUGAAUGGAUGACCUCUCUUCUCUAUGAGUUGUAGAGGUGUCCCUCGAAUGGAUGACCUCUCUUUUGUAGAAAAUUAGGGCUAGACAUUCCAAUGUAGUAGAUUAGUUCUAGUCGAGAGUUAGGGAGAGCGAAGCUACGCUCCGGUUCUAGAGGAAUCUUCUUUAGAGGUUUGGUAUGUCUUCAUAUCUCUUCUUUGUAAGACUUAUGCUUUAAUAUAUUAUCUUCUCUAUUUAGUUUAUGCCUAUUAAUGAUUAGUGUAGUUGUUAUAUUUUGGCAUGGGAUCUCUGCUUGUAUUGAGUGCUCUAAUUAUUCAUGGUAAUUAGAGUAGUAAACGCUAGUGUAGAUGUGGUGUCUAGGUUAUAGUUUACCUGAGGUUGCUCUCAAUCCCAUGGAUAGUUGUGGUAGCCCUAGGGGUGAUAGCCCUAUCAGGCCUUUGUAUUCCAUCAUGUUUGGAUUGAUGUUUUGUAGAGCUUUUGGCAGCCUUCCCCGACUACUUUCUUCCUAGUCUUAUUCGAGAGUCGGAAAGGACCUGCUGCUCCAAAGUGCCAUUGUGUGACUGCUAUAUCUUUUCAUAUUUGGUUACCUUAGAACCUAAGUAAUAGAGAAGUACAAAGGAACCUUGAUCUUCUAGUUGUCUUCCCACUUUAACUAUCUAUACAUUUAUCAUUGAAUUCUCUUACAUAUGCUUAAUUACUUAUUAUUAUAAUAUAUCAUUUAUCUCUACUUUAGUUUAGUUGAUACUCUAAGUUAGUAGAUGUAGGAUAGUGAAUUAUCAGAUUCUUAACCCUAGAUUCCUUGUGGUAAAAUAUAAACAACGAUACCUGGAAUACUCCCGGUAAAAUACUAUGAUGAUGUUUUUUGUGCUUGCGGAAUCUUUCCUAUUUCUUUUUGCACUAACAAAUGUCAACAAGCAUCGCCAUUGCCAGGAACUAGACCUUUUAUCUGUCUUUGGUGCUUGUGCUAAGAAAUGCCAACAAGCAUUUUUGGCGCCGUUGCCGGGAAAGCAAUUGGCGUAAAGAUUUUGAUAAUGAUCUUGAUGUCUGCUAAUUUAGUGUACCACUAGCUUUAGUAGGAUUACCCCUUUGUUCUGUUGAGUGUGGAUUAGACUGUCACACCCAAUUUUAAGGAUAAAAUUGAAUGCAAAACCUUAUGUGUGCCCAGAGAUCAAUCACACAUAAGCCGACAAAUUAUAGGGAGUGUCAUCACAAGUGUUUAUUACAUAACGAUAUAACUCAGAGUCUUUACAUAAAUAUAGCAGAAAAUAAAAGAUAACUCUUGCAUGGAAGCUCCAUCACACAGGCACGUCAACUGGUUGACCACAAGACUAGAAAUCCUCAAGGAAGUACUGGUAGUAGUCAUUACCCAUGUCAUCUGUUACCCAUCCGGGAUUUUUAUCCAAAUAAAGAAAAUAAACAAGUGUAAGUACACCUCGUACUUAACAAGUAUAACAGGAGGUUCAUGAGGCUCAAAGGUUAGACACUGGUUCAACUGCAUGUAGCUUUUAGUUGUCACAAUUUUAGCAUAUGAGUAGCAUCAAGUUGUCAAGACCCAUAAUAAACUCAUGAUCAGGUAAAGUGAAUAAAGAAUAGCAUAAACAACAUAUUAACAAUAAUAACAUUUAAUGAUUUGCCAUUAGUGUUCAUUUAUUCUGUAUUGGUCCAAGGCCGCUCGUGACCGUGAGCACGACUGAUAUAUCAGUUUUAUGCUCUACAGAGGUUGUACACUUUCACUGUGAGUCGUGAUUUACCCUUUCGCCCGAGGUGAUCAGCCCCUUAGCCCACUCCCAAGGAAGACCGGCAGGGUUCACUAUGAAGCCUUUCAAAGGUUCGUCUAACAAGUUAGGGCCGCUAGGUUUCGUUAGUCAGUCUGUGUGACUCACCCGCAGGAAUCCACGGUCUGCUAUCCCCCACUUCCGCCACAAGGGUAACCUCUAACAAGCUAGAAAAGGUCCUCAUACUGAGCUAAAGCCAGAGCCAUGUAGCCCUCACAGUUGUACUGUAUGUCCCGGAUGGUCAGAUACAGAUAAGUCCUUAUGGAGAGGAACUAGGGCACCAUAAGAUAGCCCAAUGCUCCAGCCCUCUUUUCCAAAGUUGCUAAAAAGUCAUCUUUUAAUGUUUAUUGCAUAAUCCUUUAAUCAAAUUACAAGAUCAUGGUUUAGUGGAGCACAAGCAUAAGCUACCCAUUGCAUAACCAUAGGUGACAAGGUAUAAAAUCAACACUAGGAAAUCCUUAUCAAGGAGACACAUGUAAUAUGAAUCAAGUGAUUAAAGUUAUUAGAAAACAAGGAUGAUCCCAUGCUAUACUUGCCUUGAUCACACUGGUCCUGCUGAUCCUGCUCGUAGUAGUACUCUUGAUCACCCACGAACUGCUCACCGUCUAUACGUAACCACCACAUCAAAAGCAAUCAUCCAAGGACAAUCAUACAAAGCAAACAAGCCUAUUGUUAGAACAGUACACCAACAGUAAUAAAUAAAGAUAAAAAGUUUAUAAAAUGAAUCUACAUCGCUCUAUGAUCACACAGACGUAAAGUUCACAAAAAUCGGAGUUAUAACGAAGAAGUUAUGAUUUUCCUAAGAUUUCCUUUAAUAAAAUAAUUAAUUAAAUAGGAUCACGAAAAUAAAAAGUUUCAAAUUUGUAAAACAGUGAGACUAUCAUGUAGAUCUUGUGAUUACGAAUCUAACGCAACUUGAACGGAUCAAAUCGGAGUUAAAACGGAGUUUUUAUGAGUAAAAUAGGAUCAAUGGCAAAACUGUAAAUCUGAGAAAACUGUUUUUGAACUGCGCGGUUGAAAAUACGUUUUCGAACUUGGAAAGCGUAAACGGCGAAAGCACAAAGGACUGCGGGUUUAUACUUUAAAAACCUCAGGGGGUUUUCUGCAAAACAACCGGCCGAAGGGGUAUCCUUCGAUGACGGCCGUUGGAUCGCGAACCAAGGGCCCAAAUUAGAUCGGGGAAGGGGGGGAAACUGAGUUGGCCGGCCGGAAUUGGACGGCCGCGGCGGCUCCAUGGCCGACCCUGGCCGGAGUUGGCCAAGCCGUGGCUAGAAAGCGGUAGAGCGCGAACCAAAAGCACCGGGAUGCUUAGAAACUCGGUGCGAACUCACCUGAGCAAGAAUCUGCGACGGAAAGAGGCCGACUAGGGGCUUGCGACGGCGAUCGGUGGACGGCGGCCCUGGAAAGAGGUUCGGCGAGCGUUAGCGACGAGCACAGAGCACGAAAUCAGGAAAAGAGAGUUCCGGCGACUUCGCAAGGCGAUUCCGAAGCCCGGCCAGCUGCUGACGGAGACUCGAAGGCGCUGCAGCGGCGGAUUGGUCGCGGCGCGGAUCUUGGCGGCGAAUUUGGUGCGUUUCGACGCGGCGGCUGCGGCUCGGGAUGAGUUGGCGGGUUGCGGGGCAUCGGGGCGGCAUAUAAAGGGCUAGAGUCGGGCGGAAUCGGGACUGCUCGCGCGAAACGCGCGCGGGAUUGCGGUUCGGCUCGUGUCCUGCUCGGACACGAGGUGGAAGACGGCCCUGACCGCUGGGCCCCACCUAUCGGUGAAACGGAGCGCGGCCCCUGUGUCAGCUGCUGCGGCAAGGAGGGAGGGGCGCGCGGCUUGCUGGGCUUGCGCUGCGCGCUUGGGCCGAAACCGGGCACUGGGCCGCGCAGGGAAGAAAGGGGGAGGAGGGAAAGCAGGCCGGGGGGGGGGGGAAGGAGAGAAGUGGGCCGAGCCCGAGACAGGGAGGGGGAGAGGAAAUCUUUUUCCUUUUUAUUUGUCCAGCUUUUACUCAAACCUUUUGACAAGAAUUUUUAAAACCAUUAUAACUUAGAAGAACACCACUCAAUAAAAUACAUGCAGCAGCAUGAAUGCACACACAUGUGUCUAGGCCUUAUAGUGGAUUUUAUUUCAAUAAAAAUGAUUUUCUUACUAUUUCUCAGUGCUCACAACAAAUAAUUAAAUCAAUUAGCCUAUUUGGAAAAGUGAAAUUUUUAGGGUGUUACAUAGACAGGACAUCAGAUGCUAUUUCGACCUUGCGACAAGUUUCCACAAGAUUAAAGAACCUAGGGUGCGUGAACAUUCAAGAUCUAUCAUUAAUUCUGGAACACUGCCAUCUCACAGGUUUGUGUAUACACAUAUAUUAUUUAUUCUAACCAUGUGUACAUUGGAGAAAAGGCCAUCGUCACAAGAAUUCAACUCCCAUCCCAUGUGAUGGAUAUAUACGCUACGCUACUCAUCCCAAUUGUGCAUCAUGGUAAGUGUGAUCAAGGUGAGAUAGUCUUGCUCAUGGACUUUAAACCUUAUGAGUAGUUAUAUUUUUUAUUUCUUGCAUAACGUUGCAUGUUUACUUUGAAUCAUCCAUGCACCCACUCCAUUUAGUUUACAUUUUCUCAUAUCAAAUCCUCAUCAUGUUUAGUUCCUUGCAUGCAUUCAUGUCGUCUGCAUCUAUAUAUAUAUAUAUAUAUAAUAUUCCUCACUACGAUCAUACUCUUCAUCCCUUUUCGAAUAAAUCUCUAUGAUGCAUUCAUGCUACCAUUGUUUACUAUAGUAUACGUAGGCUUUUGAAGUCUUUUCAGACACCUUUUUUGAAUUAGGCAAGGUACUUAGUUUAAACUGUUGUUUUGACUUAAAUUAGACAAGUUGUCUAGUUUAAUUCUUGGACCAAAAGGUGUUCUGAUCUUACUUCUAAAAGGCUUUUAAAUUAAGUAUGGUGCUUAGGUUGAAAUGCCUUCCUAAAUCAAGUUAGACGUGGUGUCUAGGUUGAUUUUUGUGCCAAUAGUAUGCUAUAGUGGAUAUUGGAUACUUUGUUGGACUAACCCCUGUUGAAAACCUUCAAAUACUAAAUUAGGAAAGUCGUGAGAUGAACUCACACUGGAUUUGAAGAGAGACACUAUAAUUUUGCACAAGGGAGACACAACUCACUAGUAGCCAAGAAGAAAAAAGGGUGCCACAAAACAUGAUCCAUGAUCAAAGCACUCACUCCAUGGAGUUGCAUUCUCUUGUCAACCACUAAUUAUCAGGAAUCAAGAAAAGAUUGACAAGAGAAGGGCAUGCAACGUUCUGCACUCUCACCUCUGAGGUUAAGAGGCUUAGACAUGAGGAAGAAAGGCCAACUCCUCUAGAUGAUCCAACCAAGUUCGUCCUCAUUGCUCCACACCCUGGUUUGCAAUCUCUAAUUUCACUAUUACUUUAUUUCUCUGAGUUUGAGUCGAUUCAUAAUGUCUAUAUUUAAGAAUCAAAACAUAAGAUGGGAAAAUAAAAUCAAUCCUUUAGAAAUAAGUAAUUGUGAAUAAUAAAUGUACUAUGCUAAGUAUGUUAAAACAAUUUCUUUUGUAGCAUAGAAAGUGACCCUUACCUCUGUGUUACAACAAUGCCCUUGUCAUUACUUGUAUAUUCCUUCGGGUAUGUAUUGUCCCCUAAUGCUUUGUAGGGAUUAAAAUAAUAAGAGCUAAAGGUCCAACCACAAAUUCAAGAGUGAACAAAUGGUGGCAUAAGAAGGAGUGCAAUAGAGAAGACAAUUGGUGCAUGAACAAGACACAAGACUGGCCAACCAAGGAAAGCUUCCACAAGAUGUUAUGGCUUCAACAUGCUUCAAUACUAAAGGUAACAUCUGUUGGUAAGUAAUCAUUACUUCCAAAUUAUCCUCCUUGAUUCUAGCAUGCACAUAAGUAGAGAGCCAAACAUGUUUUGAGUUACAACCUCAUUUGAUCCAAUCUAAUUAGCUCAACAUGUUUAGUUCUUUAUGCUUGUUCUUAGAAUCACUUUCUUGAUCUCGUCGCUCAUCCUAUCUUUAGAAGAUGAUAGUCAUAAUCAUGAAGUUAUAUAGACCAUCCUUCCAUAAUGUUGAGUAAUAUGAUUUGCCAAAUUCUUUAAUGCUAUCACCGAUGUUUAGAUAGAGCAAAACACAUAUAUCAACUUUAUGUCGUUCAAUGUGCCUAAGGUCAGAGAAUAAUGAACAAACCAUUUGGUUCUGUUGGUGUUUUCCCACCGACAGAGCCCAUGCACUUGAUCUGUGCCUUGUUUCUAUAAGCAGAAUACACUUUAGUCAACUCUCCGAGAAUCCUAUAAGUAAAGAUCCUAGACCUAUGAACAUGCACAUUGAGCGAAGAUGUUGCUAGCUCCUAGAACUAGUACUUGACUCCAACCUGCUGGAAGAGUAAUAAACAUAGGUGACACCAUCUCAAAAGGUGCAACUAUCAUGGUCUCCACCUUUGGGACUAGAUAAAGCACUUAAGGAAUUAACAUGACAAGAGAUCCUGUUUGGAGGACCUAAAUCACCAAACACCGUGCCAAUAGGUAACUUGGUAGUUAUCAACAUUUUCCUUUUUAGCACUACAUAAUUUUCCUUCAGCAUAUUUACUUUCCCUUAAAUGCAUAACUAGUUGCACAUCCACUUUACUAUUUCUGUAUUAGUAAAAGAAAAUAAAAAUAUGUCAUGCAUUGCAUCUAGAAAAUUCUAAGCCCCAUGUAUUUGCUGUGUGAUGCAACAGCCCACACACUCAUCUACUAUGGUGGCAUAAAAAUAAAUUUCAGCAUAUUUAUUUUCCUGUCUGCAUAUUAUAAAAAGUAUGAAAAUACAUUGAUCAUGCUAAAGGAUAAAUGGGUAUAAGAAAGUUCUAGACUCCCUAAGCUUAGAGGUUUAUUACUAACGCUUAAUCAGUUCCACAAGCUUUGUUGUCUAUUUAAGUUUCAGAGGCUUCCAAGGAUCAAGAAGAAUUAAGAGGCAGAAGGACGUCCUGUCCCUGUCGGAGUAUUGUCCACAUCAGGCAAGUGCUGCUUCAAACAACAAGUACCCACCACACUCUGUGAGGAUUAGUACACUUCACUGCCCAUCAGUAACCUCAGCAGACUAUGUCAACAUCCAGCUUGGAGGACAGCAACCCCCGUAUAGCGAGCUAAGUAUCUCUCACUUAUCCAUUUAUUCCUAGUGCAAUAUGACAAGAUGAAUAAUAUUAGAAACCCAAUAAAUAUUUUAUCUUUCAUAAUUAGUUUUUGCUAGCUAAAGAGAGCUUUUAAUGAAUCUGUUAAAAUGAACCUCUAGAAUAAACUCUUAUAUGGAGAUGAUGAAUAGUUGCUCUACCGUAAUUCCUUGCAAGUACUUAGUUUUCAACCUUGUACUCUCUUGUGUUUUAGAUACAACUGUUUAGACUUAAGAUUUGCUCUGAGCCUGAAACUUGUGGGUAGUAAUUUCUUGAUCUAAGUCUAGGUAGUUGACGCAUAUGAUAUGGGAAGGUUUUGAGCUGCUGUUAGUCUUGCUCCUAGAGAUGCUAGAGUUCUGUAGAAUUUUAAUUUGAAAAUCUUAAAUUGCUACAUGAUGAGUUCCUUUAUGACAAGAGUUUAAAAUUUCUUCCACAACCAAAUACUCAUGUUUAUUAGAUUAGGACACCCUUCCACUUAUAUUCAACCUAUAAGCAUUGAGGGUAGUUAAGCUAUGUAGACCCUAGGAAACUAGUCAUGUAGUUAAAGUCAAUAUUAUGUGCUCUCCAUCCAUUGAUCUUAGCUACUUCUGUCCUCAGAAGUAUGAAACCACUUACAUUCACUACACAUUCUCCAUGUGCUACUUCUGUUCCCGGAAGUACCACCCACAUAUACGCACUACACUCUGUGUUGUUUCUAUCCUAGAGACACACACCUCUGCUGCUCCUACCCUAGGAGUAUGCAUUCACCCAUACAUAUCCCACAUCCACUUAGAAAAUGUUCUACUCCUACACCGGGAGAAGAUACCCAAAAAUAUUCAAUAUCUUAUUCUACUUAUCCAAUGAAGCUCCAGUUUUUGCAGUUGAUACUCUCUACUAUUAUCAGUGCAUUAAAGGGGUUGGCUGAUCUCUAAAAAAAGAGAAAAGAAAAGAAAGAGGACAAAAGUCCCAAAAUAAAAGAAAGACAGCCAAGUCCUUAUUUUUAGAUUAGGGAGGUAUAUUAUCGCCAAGGAGCAAAUGUAGAAUUAGAUUUUCACCAUCAAUUAUCACCCCUCAUUAUCGCCAUCAUUCCUAUCAUUCAGUUCAUUCACUACACUCACAUGCAGAUAUGGCUUGAUUGUAUAAUUAGUUUCUCUAGAUCCAUGGUUUAACUAUGCAAUACAUGCAAAUAAGUUUGAAUUGUCUUUCCCACCUAUGAGCUCCACAUAAGCCAAUUAGAAGUUGGGUGAGAGAGAGAAGGCAACUAUGUCUUAAUGAUAUAAAUACCAUAUUCUAAGAGAAGGCAUAUUCACUUGCCUUGAAGGGGAUCCAAAAAUACCACAAAUGAGAGACUUGAAUGGUCAUACAAGGAAACUCUGAGUUUUAUUUGAAAACUUAGCAAAAACUCCAGAAUAAUAGUUGAUCAAAGAGCGAGAAAUAUAGUGCUUGACUUGACCAUUCUGUCUUUCAACUGCUCAAGACCCAAGUCAUGGUUAUAAGCCCCAUAGUGAAAGGUAAUAUGGGUGAGUAUUGAGACAGAAUAGUUCAUUCUAAUCCGGAGGAGAGUUCUUGUUUGAACACAUGUGUACUUUUGAGGUGUGAAGGCGUUGUAGCAACUAAUCCAUCACUGAGUUUAUCUUUGCUCAGAGAUGAGCAAAAUGUAAGCUUGGGGGAGUUUGUUAACGGUAGAUAACUCCUAAUUUUAACCAUCAACUAGACAUGAAAAUGGAUCUAUAUGCAAACACCUAGUAGAUAUAGGGUUAUCACUAAUAUAAUUCCAUGAGUUUUGGUGAAUGUCUCUUUCUGUAGGGUGUCAGCUGAAAACAACCAAAGAAGGUGCACAUAUCAGGUUUACAUAGAGAUAAAGGGCGAACAUCUACUUUUCUGUAAUCUAGAAGGUUUGAGGAGGCUCUAGAUCAAACGGGAAGCGAAUCAGGUCUGGUACUCGAGCGGCUGCCCAUAGGGCAUGAGCACCCGCCCCACUACCUUAGCCAAUCAGGCUCCACCUCAUAGAUCCUACCUCCACCACCUUUGAGGAGUAAUCUUGACCGUAUGUUUAAGUCGGUUUAAUCUGAGGGCUGUGGUGCUUCCUAGGAGGCUAUAAAUACAAGCCUAACCCCUCCUUAGGGGAACAAUCUCUAUGAGUUAUAGAGGUGUCCCUCGAAUGGAUGACCUCUCUUCUCUAUGAGUUGUGUUAACACCGUUUUUGGAACGGGUCAAGUUAGUUGAAGCAAACUGAUUGGUAAAAGAAAGGAUAUUGUAUCGUGGUAGAGGGAUGCCGAUGGGGAUCGACAGAUAAAGAUUGUGCUGAUGAUAGGGGAUGAUCGGUAGAAGACUUCUGAUGGUUCGGGAUCAGUAUAAGGUCAAAAAUGAUAUUUGCUGAUUGUUACUAUGAUUGCCGAUGCCGAUGGAGGAAGGUGUGGAGGCUACUGCCGAUGGGGAAGGACUCAAUGAAGACUUAAGAUAGGAGCUGAUGAAGUCUUUGUCGUAGCUAGGGGAAACAUAGGAAUAAAUAGUUAUUAUUUCUUUUUCUAUAGUUGUUUUAGUAUACCUUAUAUGUAAGAGUCUUGUUUACCUUGUUUGAAUCUUAGUCGUAUUCGGUUGUAACUCUUGGGGUUCGGGUAUAAAUGUAGACCUAGCAGCAAUGUAAUAGACAGAUGAGUCAUUAUCAAACACAAGUUUAUUCUUACUUUUACAUAUACUUUUCGACUACUUUGUCAAUUUGCAUACUUUUUCUGUUUAUGAGUUCUCAAGGAUUCGGCGAGUUUCACUCAACGACUUCUCGAGUUCCACGUGAGUACCUCUUGGCCGUGACAUCGGGGCGCAUCGCUGUUGUGAGGACCAAAGUAUUCAAGUUAUCACCUUUGUCGAUUAAUAGGUCAAAUCGGCUGGCACGCCUUGAUAUCAAGAUUGGGUAUUAGCCCUUUGUGUUUGCAGAUCUAUUUUUGCAUCAACACAUCAUUUGACACGCUCGGUGGGAAUAUCAACAAAGAUCAAUAUGGCUACUUCUGAACUCGACACAGACAAUGUCAUCAGCGUGACAGAAGCCGAUCUCAGGGAAGAACAGAAGCAAGCCAUGGAGAGGGCUAUGGAGGAAUACAAAUAGCUCUAUUUGAAAUCCUUUAGCCUAAACAGGAGCCGAGAAGUUAUCCAGAAGCAAGAUCUACCAUUGCCUCGGCAGGUUACCUUUGAUCCCAAUCCUAGUAAAUUGCAAGACAUGGUUAAUUCUACUGUUAAUCAUGCUUUGAUUAAUCACUCCAAAGUGUUGUCCAAUACUGUUUACAAUGCUGUUGUCCGAACCUUUAAAGAAGGACAGACACCACCACUUUAUGCUGGCCUGGCCUAUCAUCAGCCAGGAUUAUCAUCGGUUGUGGCUCCAUCGACUCCUUCAGCCGUUGCGGGUAUAGAGGUUACUUCUCCUCCGAGCACAGCGGGAUUGGCUAACGAGCAAUCUGCACCGAUGAGAUCUGAUCCAAUGACUUCAGGGGGAUGGGUCUAGCUCAACACUGAUCUAUCGACAUUGGCUAUGUCAGGAUCUGUAUUUCAAAACUGUCAAGUUCCUCCCAACUGGUGGGGAUAUAGUAUGCUUCCAAAGUUUUUGCAAAUAAUUCUAGAACAUCUCAGAUGACUGACUUAGCAGGGAAGACUCCCUUGCCAUGGGCGCCUCCAGUCUCCCGAUGACUCCGGUGCCUCAGUACUCCACGACAAAUACUGCAAGGCCAAUUACUAGGAAUUUUUAGAUGCCAAUGUUCCAGACGCCUAAUGCGAACUCAUCGGCUAAUCCAUUGCUGACACAACAGAGGUUUAUGUCUGAGGCGGGUUAUGUCAAUCCAGCAAUGACAACUAAUUACCAGCCAUCGACAAGUCUUUUGCCGAUGAAUGUUAAUAAUGGUUGGACAGGACAGUUGGUCUUCCCACACACGGCUCAGCAGAAUCAUCAGGUUGCAGGAGUUCAAUAGGGUAAUAUGCAGGUCGGCUUUCAGAAUCAGGCACCAGCAGUUCAGCCGAUGAAUCUUACUCAGUAGAUCGGUGGUCCACAAGCUAUGGCUAAUAUGAUGUUUGCUGGAGAUUGUGUACCCCAAAGACACGUGGAAGCAUAUCAGCAGGUGCCAUAAGUUCAACCAGUGCAUCGGCAAGAUGCUAAUGCCUAUUGGGCUAAUAAGAUAGCAGAGGUUAUGAGAGAUCAAUUUGGGAUAAAACCUAAAGUCAAUACUUACUCUUAUCGGACACCAUAUCCUCCUGCGUAUGACCUAAUCCCUCUUCCAAAUCGGUACAAAGUGCCAGAUUUUACUAAAUUCUCUAGACAAGAUGAUACCUCGACAAUGGAGCACGUUAAUCGGUUCAUCAUUCAAUGUGGAGAGGCUGCCAACAGAGAUGAAUUAAGGGUUCGUUUAUCUUCAUCAUCCUUGUUGGGAUCGGCUUUUACCUAGUUUAUUUCAUUGCCUCUGAAUUCAGUCAUUACUUGGGCAGAUUUAGAAAAACAAUUUCAUAAAUAUUUCUUUUCUGGAGUUCAUGAAAAGAAGCUCACUAAUUUAGUGAGAUUAAGACAACAUAAUGAUGAAUCUGUGGAGGGCUUUGUGCAGAGACUGCGAGAUGUGAAGAAUAAAUGUUACAGUCUAGUUCUGGAUGAUCGGCAGCUGGCUGAUUUAGCUUUUCAAUGGUUGCUGCCACAUCUCAAAGAUAAGUACGCUUCUCAAGAGUUUGAAAGUUUGAGUCAUUUGGUGUAGAGAAUUUCUGAUCAAGACACUAGGACUUUUGAACCUAGGAAGAAUUGGAAUAAAAUGGUAUCGUUUGUUGAUGAGGCAGAAAAUUCUGAUUCUGAUGAGGAACCAGUCAUUGGCUUGUCAGAGUGGGUAAAAAAUAAGAAGCCAAUGUCUUGUCCUUUUGGGCAGAAAGAGCCAGAAAAGUUCGCUUUUAACGUCACUAAAGCCGAUAGAAUAUUUGAUUUCUUGCUUCAAGAGGGACAAAUUAAGCUAUCGCCAAAUUAUGUAAUUCCAUUAGCGGAAGAGUUGAAGAAGAUUAAGUAUUGCAAAUGGCAUAAUGCGACUUCACAUAGUACAAAUGAAUGCAAAGUGUUUAGGCAGUAGUUGCAGUCGGCUAUAGAGUUUGGGAGAAUCAAGUUUGAUAGUUCCAAAACUCAGAGGUCGAUGAAAAUUGAUCAGCACCCUUUCCCCAUGAACAUGUUAGACGCCAAGGGUAAGACUAAGGUCUUGAUGUCAGAAACGGCUGAGAAGAACGCAUAGGUAGACCCCCAGCAUCAGAUAACUACCGAUGACGCCGAAGGAAAGGGUUUAUUGAGGGAAGGCAACAGUUCUAGAUGGCCUCCCCGAUGUGGCGUAGUAAUCACUCAUAGACAGCAACAGGAGAAUUGGCAACAGGUGAGGAUUGAUAUCGGUGUCAACAAGAAGAUAGACGUCGAGAGGAAUGGAAUCGACAUAAAGAUCAUUGGGAUUGCCCGUUCUUUGUUCAUUGUUGGGAACGAGACAUCAAAUUGCCGACUGUUGAAGAUUGUCCUGAGUGCAAUGGUUAUCGUCGACAUAAUCGGUCAAAUCAGAGAUUCCAAACAGAUAACUGACGUUUUAAUGUGCCGAUCAGACGAAGAACAUCAGUUCACGAUCGGCUGGGGGGUAGGCUUAAUGUGCAUGAUAGGCUUGGUGGACGUAUCGGUUACUUUCCGAGGAAUCAAGAAGAGCUUGAAGAGAUGGCAAACGCAAGGGUUCCCGAUGAGUUCAUAUUCUGCAAAGAUUCUAACAUUCAUCGUGUAGAGUCAAAGGAGGUGCGCUAUCAGCCAGUUUGGAAGACCAAGCUUCCCCUAUGGUGUCCAGAAGGUUUGACAAGAACACAGAGGAUGAGGAUGCAAUGGGAACGUCAAGAAGAUUUGUACAGGGAGGAAAAUUCUUCUAAGUCUGAGGAUCGACAGUGGUUGGACUGCAAGGGGAAAUGACCAUCAGCAGAUGUUAAUAUGGUAUUCAUGUUGCUGAUGGAAUUUCUUGCACCCUCUAGUGAUGAUGAGGAAAUUAGUCUCCCUGAUCAAAUGGCUUAGUUGGCACUUGAUCCAAUGAUGGCUGUUUUUGAGAAACCCUCCAAUGAUGAGAGGCAGCAUCUCAAGGCUCUAUUUGUUGAAGGCAGGGUUGAUGGGCAGCCAGUAUCUAAAAUACUUAUUGAUGGAGGGGCUGUAGUUAAUAUUAUGCCAUAUGUGAUAUAUCAGAAGCUUGGUAAAGGAGAUCAGGACUUAACCAAAACCGAUAUGAUGCUAAAAGACUUUGAAGGUAAUGCUAAAAGACUUUGUAAGAAGAAUCUCCAACUAAAGGAGCUAUCUGUGUUGAAUUAACUGUUGGCAGUAAAACCUUGCCGACGACUUUCUUUGUUAUCAAUGGAAAGGGCGCAUACAACUUACUGCUGGGGAGAGAUUGGAUUCAUGCCAACUGCUGUGUCCCUUCCACAAUGCAUCAAUACCUUGUUCAAUGGGUUGGUGAUAAAAUUAAAAUCGUUCCUGGAGAUUCUUCUUACAUCAUUGCAUCAGCAGAGUCAGAUACUUAUGAACGAACUAGGUGCAUAUCAGGGGAAGUCUAGGAGAAAGAUUUCCUUAAAGUUGCCGAUUAUGAAAUUCCACCGAUCUAAGCAGUCGGUUCUGAUGAAGAGUUUUAAUGGAUAGAUUCGCCGAUGAUGGAAAGUUAGGACAGAGGUUUACAUCGGCUGAUGACUUGGUAAAAGUAGAUAUAGGUAGAGAAGAUAAACCAAGGCCUACUUUUAUUAGUGCUAACUUAGAUUCUGAGUUUAAGCAACAAUUAACUGAUUUGUUAAGAGAGUAUAAAGAUUGCUUUGCCUGGGAUUAUACUGAGAUGCCUGGAUUAGACCGAUCAAUUGUCAAACAUCAGUUGCCUAUUAAAUCUGGGUUUCGACCACAUUAGCAACCGGCGCGCCGAUAUAACCCUAAUAUUCUUCCCGAUAUUAAGGCUGAAAUAACCAAACUAAUUGAAGCUAAGUUCAUUUGGCAAUGUCAGUAUACGGAGUGGAUUUCAUACGUUGUUCCUGUCUACAAGAAAAAUGGAAAACUUCGCGUAUGCAUUGAAUUUAGGAAUCUCAACAAAGCUAUGGCGAUGGAUGGCUAUUCGAUGCCAGUUGCUGAUUUAUUGGUUGAUACUGCAGCCGGACAUCGGAUUAUUAGCUUCAUGGAUGGCAAUGCAGGGUAUAAUCAAAUAUUCAUGGCUGAAGAAGACAUACCUAAGACUGCUUUCAGAUGUUCUGGCCAUGUUGGUUUGUUUGAAUGGGUAGUUAUGACAUUUGGUUUGAAAAAUGCCGAUGCUACCUAUCAAAGAGCUAUGAACUUUAUUUUUCAUGAAUUCAUUGGCACGUUAGUAGAAAUUUAUAUCGAUGAUGUGGUGGUUAAGUCUGUAGAUUUUAUAAAGCAUCUAGCCAAUCUAUUAAAGAUACUUGAAUGCACUAGGAAGCAUGGUUUGAAGAUGAAUCCUAAUAAAUGUGCAUUCUGUGUAUUGGCAGGACAGUUCUUGGGCUUCAUGGUGCAUCAGAGGGGGAUUGAAGUUAAUAGAAGGUCCAUUGAUGCAAUCAACAAAGUAGUUGCUCGUACUGAUAAAACUGAACUUCAGUCCUUGAUCGGCAAGAUUAAUUUCAUCAAGAGCUUCAUAUCCAAUCUGUCGGGUAAGAUCAAAGCCAUCAGUCCUUUACUCAAAUUAAAAGCUGAUCAGGAGUUUGUGUGGGGGAUGGAGCAGCAGCCGGCCUUAGAUGAAAUUAAGAAUUAUUUGAUAAAUCCUUUGGUGCUUGUUCCACCUCAACAUGGAAAACCCUUCCGAUUAUAUUUGUCGACCGAUGAUACAGUUAUCGAUUCAGCUCUCAUACAAGAAUUUGAAGGGAAAGAAUGUGUGAUUUAUUAUUUAAGUAGAAGAUUGGUGGAUGCUGAGACGAGGUAUUCGGCCAUUGAGAAAUUGUGUUUAUGUCAGUACUUUUCUUGUACUAAAUUAAGGCAUUAUUUGUCAUCGGCCGAAUGUACUGUCAUAUGCAAAGAUGACGUGGUCAGAUACAUGUCGAUGCUGAUUAUGAGUGGUGUUGACGGUCCUUAAGUAUCAAAUUUAAUUAACAAAUAAACAAAGAAAAGGAUCCAAAUGAAAUCCACAUCUAGACUUAGGGUUUUAUUUGACAUAAUUCCACGAGUUUUGGUGUUUGUCUAUUUCUGCAGGGGGUUAUCAGGAAAUAUGGAAGAAAGGCCCACACGUCGGGAUUACAUAGAGAUAUCAACGUGCCGCACAAUUAUCUUCCAUCUAGAAGACUCCAGAAGCCACGGGAAGGAAGCGGAGGCCGAACGGAGCUAGGCACUGGGCGCCCGCCCCCUGCAGAGUUGGAUCAGGACUCUCUUUCAAGAAAGAUCUCCACCAACCUAAAGGAUCAAGGAUAACCAUUCAAUCAAUGUUGGAUUGAUCCAACGGCCCAUAUUCACUUGAAGGGACUAUAAAACUAGACCCCCUGGCCCCUGGAGGGGAGAGCCUCUCAACCCUAAUUCAUUAUUCCUCAAGGGAGAAGAAGCCUCUGAUCAAGAUUAGAGCCACCACAUCAAUUAGACAUCUAGAUUAGCAUAGCUACAUAGGAUUAGAACUAGAAGGAGUCAAUCUUCGAUUGGUUUCCGGAUCUGUCAAGAGGAUUCUUGGUAAUUCUCUAAUUGUUCUUCUAAUUGUUCUUCUAAUCAUCUUUGUUCUUCAAUAUUAUGAAUAUGACUUUGUUCUAUUUCAAUAUAUUGCUUAUGACUUUGCUCUACUUGUUUAUAUUCAAGAUUAUACAGUUCUUAGUUUAUCAAGUUAUAUAUUUGGCUUAGUUAGAUUAGAUCUAUAUACUUGUUUAGGAUCGUAUAGCGUUUAUCCAUCAGAUCCAUGGGUAAAUGAUAGAUAUUGUGUAGGUGUGGUGCUUCUACCGUAUUUAUCUGCGAUUAUACCCUAUAUGCCAGAUCGCGGGAUAGUUCGUGAUAGUGACAACUUCAUUGAUUCUUAUAUAGUCCCCCUCUCGUGUAUUAGGCUGGCAGAGCAACAUUAUUACAGGGGAGUGAUUGCUAUGUUUCUCAUUUACCUUGCUAAUAUCAAUAUGCAUGGGCGUAGUCUUGUCUCGCAAUGAUUGCUAAGUAUACUUGCACUAACUAUGAUAAUGCUAGACUAUAUAGUUGAGAAUAACUUAGGGAAUAUUCUUGUAGUUCGUUCUAAUACCAUGCUAAUGACUUUCUAGAAUAUCUAAUUGAGGUGCUUAUCAUAUUUAUUAUGUGGCUAGAUCAGAUUAAUUAUCUUUGUCACUAUUCAUUACUUCAUAUAUCUUUUAUGUGACACUUAUCCCUGUGUGAAAGAGUUAGAUAUAAUGUUCUUAAUUAUACAUGCAAUGAUAGAUACUCAAUCUCAUAUUCUAUUCUGUAAACAAUAUUGAUGAUUGUUAAUCCCUUCCCAGUGGUUAAAAUAUAAAUAACGAUACCUGGAAUACUUCCCGGUUAAAAUGCUACAUCGGUAUUAAUCUGUGCGCUUGCAGAUCCCAUUCAUUAUUUAUUUAGAAGAGCAAUUGCAUAUUUCUAUACCGCGUCUCUCAUGUCAUGCUGGGGAUGACAACUUGGCUUAAGUGGUGUGAGGGAUAGGUUUGGCAUUUUUGGCACCGUUACUAGAUUUAGAGAACUAAGUCUACUUUUGGUAAUGAUGUUAAGAAUACCCAACAAACAUUUUUGGCGCCGCUGUCGGGGGAGGUUGAUUACUAAUCAAGAAUGGAAUAAAGGAUUUUGAGUUAUCAUUCGCAUCACUAAUAUGAUUGAGCUUAUCUAUUCUCUCAUAUAGUUUUACCCCGAUAUUUUUCUAUUUUAUCUUAUGCAGGGGAAUGUAUGAAUAGAAGACAUCUUCCAGGAAAUUUUGUUGACAAUCCCGAAGUGUUAUUCAGAAGAACUAGAGCCAAGGUCAAGAAGAGAUCAUCAACACUUCAGCAAGAAGCUUCAUCCAAUCAAGAAGAUCAUCGGAACUUGCCUUCAGAGUUCGAAGCCUUGGCGAACAAAUCAAUCCGCGAGUUCUCAGCUCCCACUACGGACAACAUCCGCACUGGACCUGCUGUAGAGAUCGAUGGCAACUUUGAGCUCAAGCCUGGACUUAUCAACAUGGUGCAAUCCAACCAGUUCUGUGGGAAGGCACACGAAGAUGCUAGUGCUCAUCUACAACACUUCCUGGAGAUUUGCAACACAUUCACCAUAUCAGGAGUCUCGAGAGAUGCUAUACUACUUCGCCUCUUCCCAUUCUCACUGUUAGGGAGAGCGAAGCAGUGGUUCUACGCUACAAAGGAGAAGAAUACUACGUGGGCACUCUGCUCAACAAACUUCCUGGCUAAAUUCUUUCCCAUGGGCUAGACCAAUGCUCUCUGUGGGAAAAUUACAAGUUUUCAGCAACAAAAUGAUGAAUCUGUUCCAGAAGCAUGGAAGCGCUUCUAAGACUACAUCCUAGAAUGCCCCCAUUAUGGAAUGGAGAGUUGGCUACUGAUGCAGACGUUUUAUCACGGGCUCGGCAACAGUGCUUGAGAAACCAUAGAUGCUGCAGCUAGAGGAGCAUUCUUAUCACUUACUAUACCACAAGCCACAGCUCUUGUGGAGAAGAUGGCGUCCAACCAAAGCUGGAAUGAAGAGAGGACCCAGACACGCAAGAGAGGUGGAGGUAUGCAUCAGCUCAAGGAGGUAGACAUGCUGUCUGCAAAGCUAGACCUGCUCAUGAAGAAGCUCGACGAUAGAGCUGGAGAUAAGAAGGAAGUUAUGCACAUCUACGACUCUCACAUGACUUGUGAGGAGUGUGGAGACACUAGACACUCAGGCAAUCACUGCCCUAAGAUACUUGAGGAUGUAAACUACAUCAACAACAACAACAACUACUACUACAACCGUCCUCAACAAAAUCAAGGUUGGAAUCAACAGAGGCCUAACUACUCAGGUAAUUAUCAAGGUAAUAAUUCUUACAACAAUAAUAAUAAUUUUCCACCUCUGAGAGAGUUAGUGUCUAAUCAAGGAAAGCUAAUGGAUAACCUAUCUAAGAAAUUGGCAUCUAAUGAUAAAAUGCUAGAAAAUAUAAAUAAUAGAAUGGAUAAUUUCUCUACUGCCAUCAAGAAUCAAAUUAGCUUUAAUAAAAUGAUUGAAUCUCAGUUAAAUCAAAUAGCUGCUGCUGUUCCUGCUACUAACCCCGGUAUACCAUCACAACCGGAAGGAUUAGAAUCUGCAAAUCUUGUAGACAUGUUUGAUGCAGGUAAUUGGAGUAACCCCAUCACUGAAUUCUCUACUGACCUUCUGCCAGUCAAGAGAGGCGAUCCAGGACGCCCCGUCAUCCCGAUCUCCAUCGGCAUGGUGGACUUCCCAGAAGCACUCUGUGACUUUGGCUUUAGCGUCAACAUUAUACCCAUGGUACUCUAUGAAAAUUUUUUUAUAUAUAUCCUUUAUUAGAAACAACCAUGUGUUUGCAGUUUGCAGAUCAGACGAUAAGUUUUCCAAAAGGAAUAUUGAAGAACCUUUGUGUCCGAGUUGGUACCUUAUAUGCCCCAGCAGACUUCGUAGUGGUAGAGACCUGUAAUGAUGAGAGAGCACCCAUCAUCUUAGGGAGGCCAUUCUUGAACACCUCGGGAGCUAUCAUCUACGCCAGUGCUGCCAAGAUUAGUUUCUACAUCAAAGGGAGGAAGGAGAUAUUUUUCUUCAAGAACAAGACUACACAAAUUCCAGAUCAAUCCAGACGUGAAUCAAGGAAGAGGACCAACAGGAGGAACAGGAAUAAGCAAGUGUGGACCGAGUCAGCUAAGAUGGUCACUAUAGUUCAUGGAGGCCAAGAUCACCAACUUAAGUCACCAUUUUUGACCAAGAAGGACGACCAAGGAAUGCCAAGCAUCUACUGCUCCAUAAAUGGAUACACUUCUACAAGACGACUUGCGACAUCGGAUCGGGCGUCAAUAUAAUGGCCGCAGUCACCUAUCGGCUCUUGUUCGGAACCAUGCCCCUAAGACCAACAUACAUUCAACUCCAGAUGCUAGAUCAGACAUUUCGAGAAGUUAAAGGAAUAGUAACUGAUGUCCCAGUCAAAAUAGACGAUCAUUUUGUCUACACAGAUUUUCAAGUUAUUGACAUGGGAGAAGACAAAUACGAUCCACUCAUCAUCCUUGGAAGACCGUUCCUCAGCACCGUUAAAGCAAUCAUCUACAUUGGAACCGGAGAAGUCCAUAUGCACUUCCCCUUAGAGAAGGUACGCCGUUAUUUUACUGACCCUGACUAUAUCGUUGAAGAAUCUAAGCAGGUCAGAAAGAGACGCAACCGCAACCAGAGGAGGCAGAUCAUCAGGGACGGAUGGGCAGACUAUGAAGGAGAAGUGAUAAGGUCUAAAGAUGUAGAGUUUAAACAGAAUUAUCCAGAGGAGACCGAAGCACCGAGUCAGGUAUGGAAAGAGAAGAUAACUAUACAUGAAGAAGAGGCGCUGCCGGAAGUACCGACUCCGCCACCCAACGAAUCCCAGGACAAUUGAGAAAAUGGAGAGUCCCAUUCGAAGGACUUAAAAACACCGAACGCCUUGUCAAGAGGUAAACUUGGUAGUUAUCCUUUCCCUUUCAAUUAUUUAAAAAUAGUUUGCUUAGUUAAUCAUGUUCAUACUAUCGUAAAAAGAAAAUAAAAAUAUGAAAAACAGUAAGCCCCAUGUGAGUAUACGAGUGGCAUAAAACCCAUAAGUACAUUCACUGUGGUGGCAUAAAAAUAAAAUAAAUAUUUUUCUACUUAAUACAAUGAAAAUAUAAAAAUAGGGAGUAAUAAUUAUUAAGGAGUCUCAACAUGAUAAAGGCUAGAUUUUUAUGCUAACAUUUAAUCAGUUCCACAAGCUUUGUUGUCUAUUUGAGCUCCACAGAAUUUAAGGAUCAAAGAAGACUAGCAGAAGGAGGACAUUCUAAUCGCUGUCAGAAUUGUGCCGACUUUCAAAUACACCUCUGCCACCUGCUAGCUACAUCGAGAGAAAUUACGUCAAAAUUCAGCUUGGGAGAGAGCACCCCCAUUCAUCCCGAUAAGUAUUUCUAUCUAUCUUUAUACUUAUAUUAUAUUAGAAUUUAAAUAUACAUAACUAUGGAAAACCAAAUAAAGAUCUUGUGCUUAUAUAUAUCUUUUGCUUAGUGUGUUUAAUAAAUAAAUAAAGUGGCUAUGCUAAUCUGUAUCUAAAUAAAACUCAAGCAUGGAUAUGAUGAAUAGUUGCUCUGCCUAAUUUGCACAUUUUAAGUUCUCUCUCAAGUUUAGACAUAACUGUUAUAAUUUAAAGCUUGCUCCAGACCUAAACUUGUGGGAUGAAAACUUGAUCUGAAGUCUAAGUUGUUAACGGAUACGAUAUGGGAAGGUUGAGCUGCUAUUUAUCUGUUCCUAGAGAUGCUAGAAUUUUGGAGAAUUUUAUCUUUGAAAAUCUUUAAAAUUUUGCAUGAUGAGUUCCUGUAUGAUGAGAGUUUAAAUGCCUACCAUAGCCAUAUAUACAUGCUUGCUAGACUUUGAGCCACACAUUUACUAUUUACUGCUUAUGAGCAUUGAGUGUGGUCAAGCUGUGUAGACCCUUAGGAGCUUGUCAUGUGGUUAAAUCAAGAUUCACUUGCACGUUCAAUCACAUAUGCUGCUUCUACUCCGGAAGUACCAUCCACAUAUAUCCACUCAUUUCCAUCUCCAGAACCACCCAAAAAUAUUCUACUCCUAAUCCGGGAGAGAAUAGCCAAAAAUAUUUCUGUUUUUCCCUUAUGAAAUAAAUGCUCAAGUUAUCUUGUUACUACCACUUGCUAUAUUAUCUCAAGAGAUGAGUGCUCUGAAAAAAAGAGAGAAGAAAAGAUAAGAGGAAAUAAAAAGGGGCAAGUGCCCGGAACCUCGAAAGAAAGAAAAAGUGAGACGAGAGGUAAAAAUGGACAAGUGUUCGACAGUAGAAUUAGGGGUACAAGAUACCCACCUGAGAGGAAAGAAAAAUAAAAAGAUAGAGCAUCUCAUUCUUCUCAUAAAGUUUCAAAAAGCAAGAAAGGUAUAUAUCCCCUCAAAAGAGCAAAAGUAGAAUUAGACUUCCACCAUUGUUAUCACCAUCAUCACCAUACACCAUUCAUUCGCCACACAUGCACAUCUUGAUUUGACUUAUUGAUUUGUUUCUUUGGAUCCAUGGUUUGACUAUGCAAUAAAUGUCUUGUAAGUAUGUAUACUUUAUCUCCCACCUAUGAGCUCCAGAUAUUAAAGCCUUAUUAGAGUAGGGUGAGAGAGAAGGCAAUGUUUCUAUGCCUUAUACCACAAAUACUAUAUAUCUUGAGAGAAGGCAUAUACCAUCACUGCCUUGGUAAGGAUCCAGAAAUACCACAAAAGAGAGAUCUGAGAGAGUCAUACAAGGAAUCUCUGAGUUUUAUUUGAAAAUCUGCAAAAAAAUUCAGAGCUAUAGCUGAUCAAGAAGAAGAGACAUGACACUUGACUAGACUGUUCUAUCUUUUAACUACUCAAGACAGAAGUAACGGUUACAAGUCCCAUAGUGAAAGGUAAAGUAAGUAAGUUUUAAGUCUUGACAGUUUACUCUAACUCAGAGAUGAGAUCUUAUUUAAAAGCAUGUGUACCAUCAAUUUUUAAAGAUAUUCCAAAAACUUCUGAUCUAUCACUGAGUCUAUCCUUGCUCAGGGACGAGCAAGAGGUAAGCUUGGGGGAGUUUGUUGACGGUCCUUAAAUAUCAAAUUUAAUUAUCAAAUAAACAAAGAAAAGGAUCCAAAUGAAAUCAACAUCUAGACUUAGGGUUUUAUCUGACAGAAUUCCACGAGUUUUGGUGUUUGUCUAUUUCUGCAGGGGGUUAUCAGGAAAUAUGGAAGAAAGGCCCACACGUCGGGAUUACAUAGAGAUAUUAACGUGCCGCGCAAUUAUCUUACAUCUAGAAGACUCCUGAAGCCAUGGGAAGCAAGCGGAGACCGAAAGGGGCCAGAGGCAGGGCGCCCGCCCUCUUGCCCUGGGCGCCCGCCCCCUCUCUGAGUCCAAUCAGGACUCUGUUUCUCGGGAGAUCUCCACCGACCUAAAGGAUCAAGGAUAACUGUUCAAUCUAAGUCGGUUUGAUCCAACGGCCCAUAUUCACUUGAAGGGACUAUAAAACCAGACCCCCUGGCCCGUGGAGGAGAGAGGCUCUCAACCCUAAUUCAUUGUUCUUCAAGGGAGAAGAAGCCUCUGAUCAAGAUUAGAGCCACCACAUCAAUUAGACAUCUAGAUUAGCAUAGCUACAUAGAAUUAGAACUAGAAGGAGUCAAUCUUCGAUUGGUUUCCAGAUCUGUCAAGAGGAUUCUUGGUAAUUCUCUAAUUGUGCUUCUAAUUGCUUUCUAAUUAUCUUUGUUCUUCAAUAUUAUGAAUAUGACUUUGUUCUACUUCAAUAUAUUGCUUAUGACUUUGCUCUACUUGCUUAUAUUCAAGAUUAUAUUGUUCUUAGUUUAUCAUAGUUAUGUACUUGGCUUAGUUAGAUUGGAUCUAUAUACAUGCUUAGGUAUAGCGUUUAUCCAUCGGAUCCAUGGGUAAAUGAUAGAUAUUGUGUAGGCAUGGUGCUUAUACCGUAUUUAUCUACGAUUGUACCCAAUAUGCCAGAUCGUGGGGUAGUUCGUGAUAGUGACAGCUUCAUUGAUUCUUAUAUAGUCCCCCUCUAGUGUAUUGGGCUAUCAGAGCAAUAUUAUUACAGGGGAGAGAUUGCUAUGUUUCUCAUUUACCUUGCUAAUAUCACUAUGCAUGGGCGUAGUCUUGUCUCGCAAUGAUUGCUAAGUAUGCUUGCACUAAUUAUGAUAAUGCUAGACUAUAUAGUUGAGAAUAACUUAGGGAAUAUUCUUAUAGUUCGUUCUAAUAGCAUGCUAAUGACUUUCUAGAAUAUCUAAUUGAGGUGCUUAUCAUAUUUAUUAUGUGGCUAGAUCAGAUUAAUUAUCUUUGUCACUAUUCAUUACUUCAUAUAUCUUUUAUGUGACACUUAUCCCUGUGUGAAAGAGUUAGAUAUAAUGUUCUGAAUUAUACAUGCAAUGAUAGAUACUCAACCUCAUAUUCUAUUCUGUAAUCAAUAUUGAUGAUUGUUAAUCCCUUCCCAGUGGUAAAAAUAUAAAUAACGAUACAUGGAAUACUUCUCGGUUAAAAUGCUACAUCGGUAUUAAUCUGUGCGCUUGCAGAUCCCAUUCAUUAUUUAUUUAAUAGAGCAAUUGCAUAUUUCAAUACCGCGUCUCUCAUGUCAUGCUGGGAUGACAACUUGGCUUAAGUGGUGUGAGGGAUAGGUUUGGCAUUUUUGGCACCGUUACUAGAUUUAGAGAACUAAGUCUACUUUUGGUAAUGAUGUUAAGAAUACCCAACAGUAUGCAUCGGCUCAAGGAGGUAGACAUGUUGUCUGCAAUAGCAGACCUGCUCAUGAAGAAGCUAGAUGAUAGAACUGGAGAUAAGAAAGAAGUUAUACACAUCUACGACUCUCACAUUACUUGUGAGAAAUGUGGAGACACUGGACACUCAGGCAAUCACUGCCCCGAGAUGCUUGAGGAUGUGAACUACGUCAACAAUAACAACAACAACUACUACAACCGUCCUCAACAAAACCAAGGUUGGAAUCAAUAGAGGCCUAACUACUCAGGUAAUUAUCAAGGUAAUAAUUCUUACAACAAUAAUAAUAAUUUUUCACCUCUGAGAGAGUUAGUAUCUAAUCAAGGAAAGCUAAUGGAUAACCUAUCUAAGAAAUUGGCAUCUAAUAAUAAAAUGUCAGAAAAUAUAAAUAAUAGAAUGGAUAAUUUCUCUACUGCCAUCAAGAAUCAAAUUAGCUUUAAUAAAAUGAUUGAAUCUCAGUUAAAUCAAAUAGCUGCUGCUGUUCCUGCUACUAACCCCGGUAUACCAUCACAACCGGAAGGAUUAGAAUCUACAAAUCUUGUAGACAUGUUUGAUACAGGUAAUUGGAGUAACCCCGUCACUAAAGUUACUACUGACCUUCUACCAGUUAAGAGAGGUGAUCCACGACGCCCCGUCAUCCCGAUCUCCAUCGGCAUGGUGGACGUCCCAGAAGCACUGUGCGACUUUGGCUCUAGUGUCAACAUUAUACCCAGGGUACUAUGAAAAUUUCUUUACAUAUCCUUUAUUAGAGACAACCAUGUGUUUGCAGUUUGCAGAUCAGACGAUAAGUUUUCCAAAAGGAAUAUUGAAGAACCUUUGUGUCCGAGUUGGUACCUUAUAUGCCCUAGCAGACUUCGUGGUGAUAGAGACCGGUAAUGAUGAGAGAGCACCUAUCAUCAUAGGGAGGCCAUUCUUAAACACCUCGGGAGCUAUCAUCUAUGCUAGUGCUGCCAAUAUCAGUUUCUACAUCAAAGGGAGGAAGGAGACAUUUUCCUUCAAAAACAAGACUACACAAAUCCCAGAUCAAUCCAUACGUGAAUCAAGGAAGAGGACCAACAGGAGGAACAGGAACAAGCAAGUGUGCACCGAGUCAGCUAAGAUGGUCACUGCAGUUCAUGGAGGUCAAGAUCACCAACUUAAGUCACCAUUUCUAACCAAGAAGGACGACCUAGGAAUACCAAGCAUCUAUUGCUCCAUAAAUGGAUACAACAUUUUCAAGACGAUUUGUGACACCGGAUUGGGCGUCAACAUAACGGCCGCAGUCACCUAUCGGCUCUUGUUCGGAACCAUGCCCUUAAAACCAACAUACAUUCAGCUCCAGAUGGCGAUCAGACAUUUCAAGAGGUUAAAGGUAUAGUAACUGAUGUCCCAAUCAAAUUAGAUGAUCAUUUUAUCUACACAGACUUUCAGGUUAUUGACAUGGGAGAAGACAAAUACGAUCCACCCAUCAUCCUUGGAAGACCGUUCCUCAGCACCGUUAAAGCAAUCAUCUACAUUGGAACUAGAGAAGUCCAUAUGCACUUCCCCUUAGAGAAGGUACGCCGCUAUUUUACUGACCCUAACUAUAUCGUUGAAGACUCUAAGCAGGUCAGAAAACGAUGCAACCGCAACCAGAGGAGGGAAAUUAUCAAGGAUGGAUGGGCAGACUAUGAAGGAGAAGUGAUAAGGUCAGAAGACAUACAGUUUAAACAGAACUAUCCUGAGGAGACCAUAGCACCGAGUCAGGUGUAGAGAGAGAAGAUAACUAUACAUGAAGAAGAGGCGCCGCCGGAAGUACCGACUACGCCACUGAAUGAAUCCGAGUGUUGAUAUUUGGUAACGCAAUAAGGAAAUGAUCCGCAAGCGCACGGAUAUCGGUGAGCAUUUCACCCGGGAGGUUUUUCAGAGUAUCAUAUUUAUAUUUUUACCACUGGGAGAAAGGGUGCAUCUGACUAACCAAAUCUAUUGCUACUAUCCCUUUAGGCUACAAAGAAUGUCUCUCGAUGUGAGUGAUGUAUAGAGAAGACUGCAACCGUAGUCUCGUCCUAACCUUGGUAAGGAUGAUCUACUGUUCUAUUGGGGAGGCUCACGGAAUCUAGACAACACAAAGGAUGUUCGACCCGCACCUAUAAACCUACCCGUCCUGCUAACAAGAUAUGGGAUACAAAGGUAACUCGGAAAUGUCACGUUCCUCGCUACUACCACGGUUCAGCUAGUCAGGGGAUAUCUAUGAGUACCCUAGCCUAAACACCACGUUUACGCUAGCAAUGAUUACUCUAAUACUCAACCGGAAGAGGAUUAAAGUAAACUCAUAAACCAAAGAACAAUAAAACAAGAACUUACUAGAAUUAGAAGUCGAAUUACUGAAGAAUCUUAGGAGCAAGCCUCGGGUUAGAAGACUUGAUCCCGCAGGUACAACCUCGGAGUAGACACCAACAGGCCGGCCUUCCUCCGAUCUACACCUCCACUCUAUCUCUCUCAAUCUAGUAGAAACUAGAAGAUCUAAUUCUACUUACAUUGGAUGCUAAGCCUAAAAUAAAUUUUAUUUAGAGAAGAGGUUUUCCUUCGAGGGCUCCCCUCAACUCUAUGAAAAACUUGUUCUCCUCCAGGGGCCAGGGGGUCUGGUUUUAUAGUCCCCUCAAGUGAACCUGGGCCGUCAGAUCAAACCGACAUUGAUUGGACGGUUAUCCUUGAUCCUUUAGGUCGGUGGAGAGUAAUCCCCGAAGAGAGUCCUGUUUGGACUCCAAGUCAGGGCGGGCGCCCUGGGAAGGAGGGUGGGCGCCCUGCCUCUGGGCCCUUUCGGCCUCCGCUUCGGUCUCGUGGCUUCUGGAGUCUUCUAGAUGUAAGAUAAUUGCGCGGCACGUUAAUAUCUCUAUGUAAUCCCGACGUGUGGGCCUUUCUUCCGUAUUUCCUGAUAACCGCCUGCAGAAAUAGACAAACACCAAAACUCGUGGAAUUCUGUCAGAUAAAACCCUAAGUCUAGAUGUUGAUUUCAUUUGGAUCCUUUUCUUUAUUUAUUUGAUAAUUAAAUUUGAUACUUAAGGACAGUCAACACACAUUUACUUUUUACUGCUUAUGAGCAUUGAGUGUGGUCAAGCUGUGUAGACCCUUAGGAGCUUGUCAUUUGGUUAAAUCAAGAUUUCACUUGCACGUUCACUCACAUAUGCUGCUUCUAAUCCGGAAGUACCAUCCACAUAUAUCCAUCCAUUCCAUCUCCAGAAUCACCCAAAAUAUUCUACUCCUAAUCCGGGAGAGAAUAGCAAAAAAUAUUUCUAUUUUUUCCCUAUGAAAUAAAUGCUCAUGUUAUCUUGUUACUACCACUUGCAAUAUUAUCUCAAGAGAUGAGUGCUCUAAAAAAGAGAGAGAAAAAAAGAGAAACGAGGAAAUAAAAAGGGGCAAGUGCCCGGAACCUCGAAAAAAGUGAGACGAGGGUAAAAAUGGACAAGUGUUCGACAGUAGAAUUAAGGGUACAAGAUACCCACCUGAGAGAAAAGAAAAAGAAAAAGAAGAGCAUCUCAUUCUCCUCACAAAGUUUCAAAAAGCAAGGAAGGUAUGUAUCCCCUCAAAGAGCAAAAACAGAUUUAGACUUUCACCAUUAUUAUCACUAUACACCAUUCAUUCGCCACACAUGCACAUCUUGAUUUGACUUAUUGAUUUUUUUCUUUGCAUCCAUGGUUUGACUAUACAAUACAAGUCUUGUAAGUAUGUAUAAUUUAUCUCCCACCUAUGAGCUCUAGAUAUUAAAGCCUUAUUAGAGUAGGGUGAGAGAGAAGGCAAUGUCACUAUGCUUUAUACCACAAAUACUACAUAUUUUGAGAGAAGGCAUAUACCAUCACUGCCUUGGUAAGGAUCCAGAAAUACCACAAAAGAGAGAUCUAACAGAAUCAUACAAGGAAUUUCUGAGUUUUAUUUGAAAAUCUGCAAAAACUCCAGAGCUAUAGCUAAUCAAGAAUAAGAGACAUGGCACUUGACUAGACUGUUCUAUCUUUUAACUACUCAACAUAGAAGUGACGGUUACAAGUCCCAUGGUAAAAGGUAAAGUAAGUAAGUUUUAAGUCUUGACAGUUUACUCUAACUCAGAGAUAAGAUCUUAUUUAAAAGCAUGUGUAUCGUCAAUUUUUAAAGGCAUUACAACAACUUCUGAUCCAUCGCUGAGAUUAUCCUUGUUCAGUGAUGAGCAAGAGGUAAGCUUGGGGGAGUUUGUUGAUGGUCCUUAAGUAUCAAAUUUAAUUAAUAAAUAAAUAAAGAAAAGGAUCCAAAUGAAAUCCACAUCUAGACUUAGGGUUUUAUCUGACAGAAUUCCACGAGUUUUGGUGUUUGUCUAUUUUUGCAGGGGGUUAUCAGGAAAUACGGAAGAAAGGCCCACACGUUGGGAUUACAUAGAGAUAUCAACGUGCCGCGCAAUUAUCUUACAUCUAGAAGACUCCAGAAGCCACGGGAAGGAAGCGGAGGCCGAACGGAGCCAGGCACUGGGCGCCCGCCCAGUUGACCUGGGCGCCCGCCCCCCUGCAGAGUUGGAUCAGGACUCUCUUUCGGGAAAGAUCUCCACCGACCUAAAGGACCAAGGAUAACCGUUCAAUCAAUGUCGGUUUGAUCCAACCACCCAUAUUCACUUGAAGGGACUAUAAAACUAGACCCCCUGGCCCCUGGAGGGGAGAGCCUCUCAACCCUAAUUCGUUAUUCCUCAAGGGAGAAGAAGCCUCUGAUCAAGAUUAGAGCCACCGCAUCAAUUAGACAAAUAGAUUAGCAUAGCUACAUAGGAUUAGAACUAGAAGGAGUCAAUCUUUGGUUGGUUUCCAGAUCUGUCAAGAGGAUUCUUGGUAAUUUUCUAAUUGUUCUUCUAAUCAUCUUUGUUCUUCAAUAUUAUGAAUAUGACUUUGUUCUAUUUUAAUAUAUUGCUUAUGACUUUGCUCUACUUGUUUAUAUUCAAGAUUAUAUUGUUCUUAGUUUAUCAUAGUUAUAUACUUGGCUUCGUUAGAUUAGAUCUAUAUACAUGUUUAGGAUCGUAUAGCGUUUAUCCAUCGGAUCCAUGGUAAAUGAUAGAUAUUGUGUAGGCGUGGUGCUUAUACCUUAUUUAUCUACGAUUGUACCCAAUAUGCUAGAUCGCGGGGUAGUUCGUGAUAGUGACAACUUCAUUGAUUCUUAUAUAGUCCCCCUCUCGUGUAUUGGGCUGGCGGAGCAACAUUAUUACAGGGGAGUGAUUGCUAUGUUUCUCAUUUACCUUGCUAAUAUCACUAUGCAUGGGCGUAGUCUUAUCUCGCAAUGAUUGCUAAGUAUACUUGCACUAACUAUGAUAAUGCUAGACUAUAUAGUUGAGAAUAACUUAGGAAUUAUUCUUGUAGUUCGUUCUAAUACCAUGCUAAUGACUUUCUAGAGUAUCUAAUUGAGGUGCUUAUCAUAUUUAUUAUGUGGCUAGUUAUGCUGAUCAGAUUAAUUACCUUUGUCACUAUUCAUUACUUCAUAUAUCUUUUAUGUGACACUUAUCCCUGUAUGAAAGAAUUAGAUACAAUGUUCUCAAUUAUACAUGCAAUGAUAGAUACACAAUCUCAUAUUCUAUUCUAAAAUCAACAUUGAUGAUUGCUAAUCCCUUCCCAGUGGUAAAAAUAUAAAUAACGAUACCUGGAAUACUUCUCGGUUAAAAUGGUACAUCGGUAUUAAUCUGUGUGCUUGCAGAUUCCAUUCAUUAUUUAUUUAGAAGAGCAAUUGCAUAUUUCAAUACCGCGUCUCUCAUGUCAUGCUGGGGAUGACAACUUAGCUUAAGUGGUAUGAGAGAUAGGUUUUGCAUUUUUGGCACCGUUAUUAGAAUUAGAAAACUAAGUCUACUUUUGGUAGUGAUGUUAAGAAUACCCAACAAGUGGUAGAAUGGGUAAAUGGAUACUAGCAUUGUCAAAGUUUGACUUACGUUAUGAAUCAGCUAAGGCAGUCAAGGGAUAGAUUAUGGCCGAUUUUGUCACCCAACAUUGUAGUUCGGUGGGUUCUUUGGAAGUUGCUCCUUGGACGCUUUUCUUUGAUGGAUCUACAUGUGAUCAAGGAGAAGGUAUUGGCAUAGUGUUAAUUUCUUCCCUAUGAAAGAAGUAUGAAUUUUCAUUACCAAUUGUUGCUACAUCGACAAACAAUCAGCCUGAGUUCCAAGCUCUGGUGAAUGGAUUGGAGUUACUGAGAGAAGUUCGUGCCGAUGUUGUUGAAAUCUUCGGUGAUUCUAUGCUUAUUAUAAAUCAGUUGGUUGGAGUUUAUGAAUGCUGAAGUGAAAUUUUAAUAUCAUAUUAUGAGAGGUGUUUGCAAUUAUUAAAGGAAUUUCAGGAUUUCCGUCUAGAACACAUUCCCCGAUUACAUAAUGAAGAAGCUAAUCGGUUCGCUCGACACGCUUCGGGAUAUCAGCCUAUCCUAGAGGUGUUUUCAUCGGCAAUCGGUGUCGAUGAUUGAAGAACAGAAAUCAUUGAUUACUUAAGAAACCAUCUAAGAAAGUUGAGAGACAUGUUAGAUUUCAAGCCACUAUGUACUCCUUGAUGAUGAGUUGUAUUAUCAUAUUGUGGAUGGAGUUUUACUGUCUUGGUAAUGAUGAAUCAAAAAGCUUAAUGGGUGAAAUUCAUGAGGGGGUAUGUGGAGCACACCAAUCGGAUUUUAAAAUGAAAUGGAUGAUUAGAAGAAAUGGAUAUUAUUGGCCGACUAUUCUUGAAGAUUGUUUCAAAUAUUUUAAAGGGUGUCAAGGGUGUCAAAAGUUUGGCAAUAUUCAAAGAGUGCCCGCAUCGGCUAUGAAUCCUAUUAUCAAACCUUGGCUAUUUAGUGGAUGGGCUAUUGAUCUCAUCGGUCAAAUUUAUCCGCCAUCAAGUAAAGGACAUGAGUUUAUUCUUGUUGCCAUUGAUUAUUUCACUAAGUGGGUUGAAGCUAUUCCUUUGAAAAAAGUGACAUCGGCCAACAUGAUUGAUUUUGUAAAGGAACAUAUUGUUGACCGAUUUGGUAUUCCUCAAACGAUUACUACCGAUCAGGGUACUAUGUUUACAUCGGGGGAGUUUGAUGAAUUUGCAAUCAGCAUGGGAAUUAAAGUGUUGAAUUCUUCUCCUUAUUACGCUCAAGCUAAUGGUAGGCCGAAGCUUCUAACAAGGGAAUCAUUCAGCUCAUCAAGCGAAAGAUUGAAGAAAAUCCUAAACGGUGGCAUACGGUAUUAAAUGAAGACCUAUGGUCGUAUCGGAUGGCAUGCCAUGGUGCAACCAAAGUAUCGCCUUAUUAGUUAGUAUAUGGGCAUGAUGCAGUAUUACCUUCGAAAUUUAAAACUGGCUCUAGGUGGAUAUUCUCUUAGGAUCAAUUAACUACCGAUGAUUAUACUACCCUGAUGAAAGAUGAGUUGGAAGACUUGGCAGGACAUCGGUUGAAAGCUUUGGUCAACAUUGAAGAGAACAAAAAGAGAGUAGCUAGAUGGUAUGAUAAAAGAGUAAAAGCUAAGGAGCUUGCUGAUGGUGAUUUGGUUUGGAAAUUAAUUCUACCAAUUGGGACUAAAAGUUCGAAAUUUGGAAAAUGGUCUCCUAAUUGGGAAGGUUCCUAUCGGAUAAGUCGAUCUGCUCUUGGCAAUGCAUACAUCCUAGAGACCCUCGGAGGGGUUUAAUUUCCCAGAGCAUUAAAUGGAAAGUAUUUAAAAAGGUACUACCCUAGUAUCUAGGUCAAUGCAUACAAAGUUUAAGUGCCGAUAACAAUCCUAUCGACUAGACAAAUACUAGUGUUUGUAAGAAAGUUGGUGUGACAUAUUGCCGAUGAAGAAGUUUAUAAAUUCAGCAGAGUCUGGAUGGCUGAUAUCGCACGCAGGCGAAUCUGGUUAGCUUCCUCUAUUUCUCGGAUGUCUUCAUCGGCCGAGCCUUCUACUAGUUUUUGUUUCUUCUUCAUCUGCAGGGCCUUGCGGGCUUGGGCAUCCCUUUCUUGCUGAAGAUCUUUGAGCAUACCGGGCAGUUGGCUAUCUUCUUGCUUGGCUUGGGUUAGCGCUUCUUCAACAUAUUUAAGUUCAGCAAGCAGAGCUUCUCUUUUUGCCGAUAGAUCGGAGAUCUUUUGCUUUAGUUUAGCGCUUGAAGAUUGCAAAGUGCCGAUACUCUUGUGCUUUUCAUCGGUAGCAUGCUUUACCUACAACAUUUCCUCUUUGAGUUGGGCCUGGGUAGCUCUGUCGGCAAGGCGUUAAACAACUUUUUGGUACUGGAGCUGGUGGCUCUCUAGAUGGGCAACUUGGAAAAGCACCUCUUCGACAUCGGUAGGGAUCUGACCACAAAGAGUCUUGAAGAUAGCUUUGGCCGAGUCGGAGUCAUCUACCAACUAAGCUGUGUCUUGCUACAGUAGGCCCAACAGAUCUUCCAACUUGGAUUUGAUUUCCGCCGAUGCGAUUCCUAGUGCCAAGGAAGAACUUGCUUCUUCUCCUUCGUCAUCAGAGAUGUCGAUGGCAAAAGAAAAUAGGCUGUCAAGAGAGUCUUGUUCCUGAAGGCAGGAAGAGAAGAUGAGUUAGUUAGGGUUAAAUAUGGAUAGUGCAAAAUCGAACAAAUCAGAUGGCUUACUUGUUUCAGAGUGAUCUCUUGCCUUUGGCUUAGAGAUGUGACUUGUAUUAUGCCCUGAUUGGCUGGAUCUACCGAUGGAAUAUCUUUGGCUGCAAAAAUGAUUAAGUACUAAGGGUUAUGAUUUCUUUAUGGGGUUUAUCUAUGAUGAUCUGAGGGGUGAUCAGUACUUUACCUCGAGAAGAAGCGAUAAUUGUUUGCUCUGGAACAACGGCGUAUGACGUGCCUUGGUCAGAUGGGUUAUCUGUUCAGGUGCAUCGGUCGGUUCAACUUGACCUUGAGGUGCUGGAUGAGGUGGAGAAGACUGUAACACCCCAGUGUUAUGGUUGCAUCAUUCACAUGCAUAACAUGAGCAUCAUCAUCUUCAUAAGCAUAUCAUGAUCAUCAUUUUCCUUGGGUCAUGUCAUUUUAUGCAAAAGUGUGAUUUAACUUGCUUAAAUAUGCUUCCUAUGCUUGUGUUUGCUUGUGCCAUGCUCAUGUUUGUGUUCUAUGCCUUGGUAAAUAGUUUAUCUAUGCUUAACUCAACUUUUGGAACAAUGUUCAUGUUGGUCACAUCUCCAAAUUAAGUACCUAAGUCAUACUUUCAUCUUUAGGCUCUAAAAACCUCUUGUGCUCAGGCUUUUAAAAAGUGCAUCAUAAAAUGCUUGCAAGUCAAAACUUCCUAAAGGAAAGUUGUAAGACAUUUUAUAAGUAACAAAAGUUGUUUUAUGGCCAUCUCAUGAAAAUGAACACAUCAUGCUCAAAAAGUGCUUGCAAGGCAGUUCUGGGUGCUGUUUUGGCACUUAACCAAAUUUGGCUAAGUCCUGGCGCCACCAGUUUGCUCGAUCGGUUUUGGGAGCUUCACAUCUCUUGAUCCAGGCUGAUCUGGCUCUUGCUCCAAUUGACAAUCUUGUAGAACUCGUUUAGUACUCCAACACUGUCAACUACACAAUCUCCUAAUUCGCCAUGGUUUGGGAGAUAAUCACCAUCAAAGUAGCUCUGUCAGUCGAUCAUCGUUUUGUCUGAAUGGACGUCGAGCUCGUCGACGUGGCCGACCGGCGUCAGGGCAGCGGCGACAUUUGGCACCCGUACGCCGUCUCUGGCCCUGCUCGUCAGCUCCGGAUGCAUGCAUGACCUCCACGGAGACACCCCGGGCGAAGUGGAUGCGUCCAUUUCCUCUCUCCCGUCUCUCUCACGCGAGAAACGCGGCCGUAGCGGAGUCGCCAUCGCGAGCUCACUCCGGCGAGCUCGAGCGUGCUCCACACUGCAUCGUCGUCCAUCAAAACUCACCCACAGCUCCGCCGUGACUUGCUCUCCAACCUACACCCUCUAACUCGCCUUGAAACCGUCCGGUGAGCCGACAUUUCCAACUUCCCCAAAUCGGGUCGCCGUGACCGUUUUCUCUAGUGAACUCAAUGCUGAGCUCCUCGGAGCGUCUCAUCUUCUCUGGUUAGGUUCUAGAGGUAGCUUAGGACCUUAGCUAGCGUUUGCGCCACCUACGGAGCACUCUACCGCACUCACCGUCGCCGGACACGACGCGCAGUGCCGCCGUGUUUCCGUCGGAGUCCGGUCCUCUUGUGGCUAGCCCGUUCCACACCGUAUCAAACCUAGCCACCUACCUAGAAAGCUUCGCCUUAGUUCACUGAUGCUGUAGGAAACCCUAGGUCACGCUCUACCGGCCUGAGAGCUCUGGCGUAUCGCCGAGCUGAAAGGUCCUUGUUUGGUUUUGGUAAUUGAGUGACAACUUAGGUGGACUAAUAGUAUUUAUGUGAGAUAUACAGGAGAUUAGUCCACAGGUGGAUAUGUGAUGAUAAAGGAACUCAUUGCAUAUGAGACAUGACAUGGAGUCAUGUGACCAAGGUGGAGAAGAUCAAGAUGAGGCUUGGCUCGAUGGACUAGUUGCAAGUGUGAAGGGCAAGUUAGAGGCUUUGAAGCGAGGGACCGCGUGUGACGGUGAAGCUUGAGCAAGACUUGACGCCGAUGGACCAAGGCAAUGGUGAAGAGCAAGUGAGGUCAAGAUCGAUGAACCAAUACGGUCAUGUGAUGAUAUGAAGUGGAUCAUAUCAUUUGUGAUUGGUUGGUGCAUGUGUUGCAUCAACAUCGAAGGAGAUGGAAUGAAAUACGCAAGGCAAAGGUAUAACCUAUAGGGCAUUUCAUUUCACCGGUCUAAGUUGAGUAGAGAAGUGCUUGACCGGAUUUAGGAUAGAUAACCGUACUAUAAAGAGGGGAAAUCUUUAAUUACAAUGGUUAUCUAGUGCCACUAAGUGUGAGUCUCUUUUGCAUAUGCAUUGCGCUUAGUGACGUGGUGAGAAUACUUGAGAAAACCCUAACAAUUAUUUGUGAAAAUGCUAACUUAAGUGCUCAAUUGUUUUUGGUACUUUGUGGGAAAGUUAGCACCUUAAAAAGGGGUUUUGAGUUGGAAAACCGAGCUAUUAGUCAUGCCCAAACAGCAAGGGGUCGAUCGGAGUUAUUCUCUGCCCUACCUGGAUAUUCUAAUAUUUGUGCUUGCAACAGAGAGGGGUCGGUUGGAAUUUUAGCUGCCCCACACUGGAUAUUUUUCAAAACUGGAGUUCACCCACGCCAACGGUCAAAUGUGUGUUUGCCUGGAAUUAUUUCCUACCCGCACUGGAAUUUCUUGCGAGGCUGAAUCUGACCGUUGGGAGCGCGAGCUGAGGUAUUUGGGGCUGCUGCUGCCCUCUUCCUCCUCACUUCUCUCCCCAUUUUCUCACUUUAGGAGAGCAAGCAAGUUAGGGUUCCUCAUCUCCUCUCUCUCUCCCAUGGAUUUGAGCUGAAAUUUCUUAGAGAGAUUGAGAGCCCUUUGUGGGUGUGGAUGAGAGGUUGAAGAUCCACCUUUUCCCCUUCCUCUCCCUCUCAUGCUUGGUGCUAUUUUGAGUGAGGGAGUGAGAGCCUAGUGUGUGCAUUCGUGAUUUGCAUUUGGUGGCACUAGGAAAUCUUUGUGAUUGGGGAUUUCUUGUUACUCUUGGUGAUUGCCAUCACCUAGACGGUUUGGUGGAUUGUGACUCCGUUUGAAGCACGCAAGAAGAUUGUGUGGUGCUCCGGAGGAGGAUUUGUGAGGGGUACGGUGCUCACCCCGCGGGGAUCGCGAAGAGCAACUCUAUUGGAUUGUGCGUGUCAUUGAGUUACCUCACUUGUGGGUAGGUUCUUGCGGUGUCCUAGUGAGGACGAGGUUCGUGUAACACCUCUUAGCCGCCGAACCACCAAGUGUUGGUCGACACAACGGGGACGUAGCUUGGUGGCAACCAAGUGAACCUCGGGAGAAAAUCAUCGUGUCAACAUUGUUCUUCAUUUUGGUUUGCAAGUCCCAAACCCAAGCUUGUAUUUACUUCAUAUACUUGUGCUUGUGUAGUUGCUCUUGUAAUUAGUUAGCUUGUGUAGCUUGCUAGUUACCUUCUUGCUUGUGUAGCUAGAAGUAGUUCCCCUGUGUGACUAAUUUGGUUUGUGUAACCUUGUUAGUCACAUUGCUUAGUUUGUGUAGCAAAGUAAUUUGCGCUCUCUAAUUUGGCAUUGGUUGCCUUGUUAUUGAGCAUUGCUAGUGAGCUUAGGAGCUUUGUGCUUUUGCUUACUAGUUGUGUAGGAGCUCUCCGGUUUGCAAAGUACUAGUGGCAUAGGUUUGUGUGACCUUGCUUCUAGAAUUGGUUAGGUGAGCUCUUGCUAAGGUAGCACCUUGUUUGCUUAUUUAGGAUCUUUCACAAGGUGCUAAGGAACUUAGAUAGAGGGGUAUAGUCUUGGCUAGAACGAUAGUUUUAAUUCCGCACUUAUUUCGGUUAGCCGGCGCGUUAAGUUUUAGAAAGGACUAUUCACCCCCCUCUAGUCCGCCAUCUCGACCCUUCAAGUGGUAUCAAAGCUAGGUCUCUCAUUUGUGGUCUUCACCGACCCGAGAGGAUGGCGGCUUAUGGGCUAGAUGAUUGUGAGACACACAUUUUUGAUGGUACAAACUUUGCACUUUGGAAAAAUCACAUGCUUGAUCAUUUUCGUGCAAAGGGACCUAAAUUUUGGUGGAUUGUCACUAAUGGUCUCACACACAACUUAGACCAUAAGAAUCUCACCAAAGCUCAAAAGGUUCUCUUUGAACUUGAUUGUGAAGCUUAUGAUUAUCUAAUAGAAUCUUUGAGCUUUGAGAUGUUUGAUAGGAUAAACUCCAAAGGAACCGCUUAUGAAAUGUGGGAGUCUAUCAAACACACCUUCGGUGAUUCCUCCACAUGGGAUGAUGGCAAGUUCAAAAAGGAGGAACCAAAGGUGGAGAUACAUGAGGACGAUGAUGAUGCCACAAGUGAUGCAACCGAUGAUGCUACUCCAUGCACACUUGAUGGUGAAGAUGAUGGCUAUGAGAGUGAUGCUUCCACAAGCUCAUCUACUACAUCACCACAUUGCUUCAUGUCACAUGGUGACACUAAGGUAUCUAUUGGCGAUGUGAUUAUUGAUUGUGAUGGUCCAAAUUUUGAGCUUGUAUGCAAACUCUCAAAAGCUUUAAGAAAUGAGUUGGCAAAAACAAGUAAAUUGAAAAUUGAAAACUCAUUUCUAAAGACCGCAUGUGAACAACAAAAACAUCUACUUUAUGUUACUAAUUGUUCACAUGAGGAGCUAAAAUUGGCUCAUGAGGAACUUUGUGUUGCUCAUGAUAACUUGGUACAAGACCAUGCUUUACUCACUAUGAAGCUUUCUAAUGAAGAAACUAAAACUAGUGAGAGCUCAUCACUUGGGUCAAAUGAUCAAUCACAUAUUGUUACUAACCCUUGUGAUGUAGGCAAGAAGCAUGUAUCCACCUCUUGUGAUGAUUUAUUAUGUAUGCCAUGUUCUUCACAUAUAGAUGCUUGUUCUACUUCUAUGUCUUGUGAGUCUAACCUUUUGAAGGAGAACAAUGAGCUUAAUGAACAAGUGAAGAAUUUGAGCAACAAGUUAGAGAGGUGCUACUACUCAAAAGUCACCUUUGAGCAUAUAUUGAAGACUCAAAGAAAUUAUGGUGACAAAUGUGGCCUUGGCUUCAAGAAGAAGAUGACAAAGGGCGAAAGAAAGCAAGAAAAGAGGAUGAAGAAGCUACUUCAAAAGAAGCUUUCUCACACCAUGUGCUAUCGGUGCUAUGAAGUGGGACAUCUUGCUAAUGGUUGCCCAAAUAAAGAGAAGCUUAAGAAGAUGAAGGAAGAAGAUAGGCUAAAGAAUGUCAAGUGCUUCAAGUGCCGCACUUGGGGUCAUCUCACCUCAAUGUGCCCAACCAAGCAAUUGGUGAAUCAUCAAGUGAAGCCUCAACCAAAGCCACAAGUUAGGCAAGAAAAGACACCCCAAGAGCAAAUCAAGAUCAACCGUGAUGGUGAUGACUUGAUAAUGAAGAAGAAGAAAACAAGAAGGGGUGGAAGAGCAAGGCAUCCAAUGCAAAUCCAAGAUGCCAAGAUGAUGAGCAAGGAUGAUGGACACUUUGCCUCGAGGUGUCCUACCAAGCUUGAGAAGAAGGUUCAAGCAACUCUCAAGAGGCAAGGCAAUGAGAAGCAACAUAUGAGCAAGGAAGAAAAGGCUCAAUCCAAAAGAAGUUGCUACUUAUGCCGGGAAAGGGGACACAUGGCUCAUUCAUGUCCCCUAGGUAAUAAUUCUAAGCCUAUUUCAAUUGAUGAUUUUACUAUGCUUAGAAAGGAUGAUAAUGGUACCUCUAUGGUUGCUAUUGCAAAACAUCCCGCUACUCAUACCAAGGCUAUGCCUAAGUAUGUUGCUCCUAACUUGAGAGGACCCAAACUAGUUUGGGUACCAUCAAAAAGUGGAUGAAUGCAUGUAGGUACCAUCGGCAUUGGAGACUUGAUUCAAUUGAUUUUAUAUUAUUCAUCAUAUGAUUGAGUCAAGUAUUGAAGCUUAGUGCUUAUCUUAUCCCAAUGCCAAGACAAGAUACUGAAGUCCAAAUGUGCUACAACAUACAAGUGUCACAUUCAAGUUGUGGUAAUUUAUUGGAUUAUUUGAUGGUUUGCAAAUACAUGAGAUGAAGCUUGCAAAUUGAAUGAUCAUAAGCUAACCAAGAUAUAUCUUUGUUGAUCACAUUCAUUUUGGUGCAUAUGAGUUGAUUGAAUUGGAUAUAUAUGCAAUAUUGCAUGAUAUAAGAUGAUUGAAUGGAUAAAAUGAUUAGUAAUCAAGUUUUGAUUGAUUUGAGUUGAAUAAGUUCAUGAGAUGACUUUUAGUAAGUGGAUUGAAUUGAUAUAUGUCUUGUGAAUGCAUUCAAUCAAGUUGAUUUCAAGUUUGGUUCAAUUUGAACAAGUAUAGCUCAAUUGCUUGAAAUCUGUCCAUUUUUGAAAAAAAAAUAAAACUGAGCUAGCAGUGAUCAAGUCGGAGUUUGAGUGAACAAAUCUAUUUGGAAUGGCUUGAAAUUUGGUAUGCAUGCUGUACACUUAUCAUAGAAGAUGCUGUAGAAAUUUCAUGAGAAUUGUAUAAGGGAUACUUUGGUUUUAGAGUGGAUCUUAUCAGCUAUAGUGCAGCAGAUUUCAGCAUGUAGCAAUGGUGGAAGAAUUGAAAUCUGGUAGCAAUCUAGAAGUCACAUGAAGCUCAAAUUUUUACAUCUGCUAUAUGACUUAGUGAAUCACAUCUACACCAAAUUUCGUGGCAUUUGGAUCUGUACAUUGUGAGAUAUGGAUAUUUCCUUUAAGGGUACAGAAUCUGCCAGAAAAGUGACAAUUAUCGGAUUGAUCUAGAGUCACUUUGAUUGAAAGGUCCUCAAGUUGGAAACAUGAUUACAAGUAUUUGAGGCACUUAAGUUUGGUUUUGAAUUGAUCUAGAAGCAUGACAAGUAUUCAGUACAAGGCUAUUUGAUUGUGGAAUGUACUUGGUGUACACAUUUAGUACUCAAAUUGAAGAUCAAGAUCAAACUCAAGAUGAAGAUGAAGUUUAAGUUCUAGUGACUAUUGGAGAUUAUUUAGAAAGAAAAAGAACUUAAACAAGUAGAAAGAAAAGGACUUAAAGAAGGGUUCACGGAUAUUCAUCGUAUUAAGUCCAUCACUUGAAUCAAUCAAUCAAAGGCAAUUCAAGUGAGUGUCAAGAAUGGUUCUUUAGAGAGAGGUCACUUCUCCCUGUGUGAGGGGCUUGCCGCCCGAGGAGUGGGUUAACCAAGUGUGGUGCUUGGAAGGCUAACAUGGAAGUGGUGAUCUAAAGGACAUUUGAGAUGCUUAGUUGAAGCAAUCAAUAGGAUUGAUCAAGAAAUCAAGCAACAACCCAAAAGAGAGCUAGUCAUGAUAUUUCAAUUGAUAUUCUUAUUAGUUCUCUCAUGCAAGCAAUGAUCAAGAAAAGAUGAAGCAAGCCAACCACAACAAGACAGUGCACUUGAUCAUAAAGUGGUUCUAAAUUCAUAUGGGUGAAGAUUUGAUCUAUCAAUUGGCAUUCAUGAUUGGUCUUCACCAAGCUUAUAGUUGGACUUCACAUUGCUAUUUGGAGCUAAAUUGGAAUCUUAUUGACUAUCCUCUACUCCAAGAUAGCAAAGGUAUCAUUGUAAUGUGCAUGAUCAUUUCAUCCCUUACUAGUAUGCGGUUAGUGCAUAUAGUACAUGCUUAAUAGGAUCAUGCAUGACAAAUGAAAAGUUUUAAAUUCAUAGCCUACCACUAUUGCUUGAAUGAUUAGUUGAUCUAGUGGUAUAUAUAUGAGUUUAUUCAUGAGCUAGUGAACCCAAGUACUUGAUCUAUUUUGGAUUGUUAACAAGUGACAAGUACAACAUUGGCAAGAUAACCCUUAAUGUGAGGUGUGAAAAAGCUUGUCAUUGGUUCAAACCGGACUUGGAAGCUUUAGCAAAUCAACUUAGUUCAAGUCAUCAAUUAGAAGCUCAUGAUGAUUAGAGUACAAGAACAAGACAACAAUGAAGAUGGAUAUCUAGACUCCAAUGUUUCUUCAAGUGAUAUCCUACAAUUGGUACUCACGAUAGCAAAUGUUCAAGAUAGCAAACAAGUGGUUCCAUACUAGAAGACCUUAAUUGGUAGAAGAACCCCAUAUGGUAUCGGACAAGAUAGUUCAAUUAUAUCACAUUUAUACAUAUGGUAUCUAUCAUACAAGAAGGUGGUUCCACAAGUGAUCCUCAACUUUAAGUGAUCACCAAGCAAAGAAAGUUCCCUCACCAACAAGUUUGACAAGUGAAUGACCCAUGCUAUGACAUAGGGGGAGUGCCCCACCAAAUGGUAUCAAGGUCAAAGAUCCUAUGUGGUAUCUCAAGAGCAAUUCAAGUAAUGUCAUUCCAACACAUAUGGUGAUAUCCAUCAAAAAUGCAAGAUUCAAGCCUCAACCAUCUAUCCCAAUGCAAUCCUUUGUAAUAAUGAGAUUCACAUUUUUACAAAUGGUAUCAAGUGAUUUAAUUGGUAUCACAUACCUUUUAUGGAAAUUGAUGACAAAGGGGGAGAAGUUGGAACAAAGAUAUGAUCAUGGGUUAAGUUGGACAACAAAAGAUAUGUCUCAAGGGAGAGAGAUCAAAGAUGGACAUGGACAAGGGAGCAACAUUAAAAGAAAAGAUGAUGGAUCAAAAUUCUUGGACAAAAGAGAAGCACACAAGUAGGGGGAGCAAGCUCAUGAACAUUGAUUGUUUGCAUUUGAUAUGUGCAUAUUCAUGUGCUUUCUUGCAUUGCAUAAGUUUUAAAUUCAAUAUGCAUGCUUGUGUGGUGUAUGCUAGUUAUAGAACUUGAUUGAUGAUAUGAUAACUAGCAUGCAUAGGUUGGUAGCUAGACUUGUGCUCUUCAAGAAAAGACUAGACCCUUGCCUAUAAUGUUGAUCUCAUGGGGUUUCUAGUGUUUUUGUUGUCUAGCUACACAUGGUGCUAAGGAUAGUGUACAUCGAAUACUUCAAAUGAUAUCGAAUUUGGUAUCGAGCUACAAAGGUUUAUUCUAUACACCUUAGCACUUAGUCGGGCUUUAUGUUGCUUAUCCAAAUCUUGAAAUAGAGCUUAAAUGUUGGAUAAGUAGCAUAAAAUCCAAAAUCAAGUUAGCAAUUUACACUUGUGUGAAGUGCUAGCUUGAAAAAGCUUUAAUUUCCAUAUCUUUGUAGAGUUGUCAUCAAUUACCAAAAAGGGGGAGAUUGAAAGGUCCUUGUUUGGUUUUGGUAAUUGAGUGACAACUUAGGUGGACUAAUAGUAUUUAUGUGAGAUAUACAGGAGAUUAGUCCACAGGUGGAUAUGUGAUGAUAAAGGAACUCAUUGCAUAUGAGACAUGACAUGGAGUCAUGUGACCAAGGUGGAGAAGAUCAAGAUGAGGCUUGGCUCGAUGGACUAGUUGCAAGUGUGAAGGGCAAGUUAGAGGCUUUGAAGCGAGGGACCGCGUGUGACGGUGAAGCUUGAGCAAGACUUGACGCCGAUGGACCAAGGCAAUGGUGAAGAGCAAGUGAGGUCAAGAUCGAUGAACCAAUACGGUCAUGUGAUGAUAUGAAGUGGAUCAUAUCAUUUGUGAUUGGUUGGUGCAUGUGUUGCAUCAACAUCGAAGGAGAUGGAAUGAAAUACGCAAGGCAAAGGUAUAACCUAUAGGGCAUUUCAUUUCACCGGUCUAAGUUGAGUAGAGAAGUGCUUGACCGGAUUUAGGAUAGAUAACCGUACUAUAAAGAGGGGAAAUCUUUAAUUACAAUGGUUAUCUAGUGCCACUAAGUGUGAGUCUCUUUUGCAUAUGCAUUGCGCUUAGUGACGUGGUGAGAAUACUUGAGAAAACCCUAACAAUUAUUUGUGAAAAUGCUAACUUAAGUGCUCAAUUGUUUUUGGUACUUUGUGGGAAAGUUAGCACCUUAAAAAGGGGUUUUGAGUUGGAAAACCGAGCUAUUAGUCAUGCCCAAACAGCAAGGGGUCGAUCGGAGUUAUUCUCUGCCCUACCUGGAUAUUCUAAUAUUUGUGCUUGCAACAGAGAGGGGUCGGUUGGAAUUUUAGCUGCCCCACACUGGAUAUUUUUCAAAACUGGAGUUCACCCACGCCAACGGUCAAAUGUGUGUUUGCCUGGAAUUAUUUCCUACCCACACUGGAAUUUCUUGCGAGGCUGAAUCUGACCGUUGGGAGCGCGAGCUGAGGUAUUUGGGGCUGCUGCUGCCCUCUUCCUCCUCACUUCUCUCCCCAUUUUCUCACUUUAGGAGAGCAAGCAAGUUAGGGUUCCUCAUCUCCUCUCUCUCUCCCAUGGAUUUGAGCUGAAAUUUCUUAGAGAGAUUGAGAGCCCUUUGUGGGUGUGGAUGAGAGGUUGAAGAUCCACCUUUUCCCCUUCCUCUCCCUCUCAUGCUUGGUGCUAUUUUGAGUGAGGGAGUGAGAGCCUAGUGUGUGCAUUCGUGAUUUGCAUUUGGUGGCACUAGGAAAUCUUUGUGAUUGGGGAUUUCUUGUUACUCUUGGUGAUUGCCAUCACCUAGACGGUUUGGUGGAUUGUGACUCUGUUUGAAGCACGCUAGAAGAUUGUGUGGUGCUCCGGAGGAGUAUUUGUGAGGGGUACGGUGCUCACCCCGCGGGGAUCGCGAAGAGCAACUCUAUUGGAUUGUGCGUGUCAUUGAGUUACCUCACUUGUGGGUAGGUUCUUGCGGUGUCCUAGUGAGGACGAGGUUCGUGUAACACCUCUUAGCCGCCGAACCACCAAGUGUUGGUCGACACAACGGGGACGUAGCUUGGUGGCAACCAAGUGAACCUCGGGAGAAAAUCAUCGUGUCAACAUUGUUCUUCAUUUUGGUUUGCAAGUCCCUAACCCAAGCUUGUAUUUACUUCAUAUACUUGUGCUUGUGUAGUUACUCUUGUAAUUAGUUAGCUUGUGUAGCUUGCUAGUUACCUUCUUGCUUGUGUAGCUAGAAGUAGUUCCCCUGUGUGACUAAUUUGGUUUGUGUAACCUUGUUAGUCACAUUGCUUAGUUUGUGUAGCUAAGUAAUUUGCGCUCUCUAAUUUGGCAUUGGUUGCCUUGUUAUUGAGCAUUGCUAGUGAGCUUAGGAGCUUUGUGCUUUUGCUUACUAGUUGUGUAGGAGCUCUCCGGUUUGCAAAGUAUUAGUGGCAUAGGUUUGUGUGACCUUGCUUCUAGAAUUGGUUAGGUGAGCUCUUGCUAAGGUAGCACCUUGUUUGCUUAUUUAGGAUCUUUCACAAGGUGCUAAGGAACUUAGAUAGAGGGGUAUAGUCUUGGCUAGAACGAUAGUUUUAAUUCCGCACUUAUUUCGGUUAGCCGGCGCGUUAAGUUUUAGAAAGGACUAUUCACCCCCCCUCUAGUCCGCCAUCUCGACCCUUCACGAGCACCUCCGCCGAGCCGCCAUGAUCGACGGCAAGCCCCUUCCGGUGGCUCCGCUGUGUGGAAAAGGGGGUCAACCGGUUCGCAAGUGUCUGGGGAUCACGUUGGUGCCCUUGGUUUGGCCAGAGACCUCGCCAUCGCGGAGAAAUCACCGGUGAACGUCGCCUCGGUCGAGAGGAAGAAGAACCUGACAUGCGGGUCCCGCUGUCAGUGACACAACGGCUCCCUCCUCUCUUUUAUUUAAAUUCCAGAUUUCUUGCAAUCUUGCAAAAAUCAUAUCUCCAGUUUCUAAGCUCCAAAAUUUGUGAAACAAAUUUUGUGUUGAUCCAUGGUAUGGCUAGUUUUUAAUAAAAAUAUAAUAUGCACCAUGUUUACUAGGAAAAAUAAUUUUUAUGAAUUAAUCUUGUUAUUUGAGUGUAAAUUCAUAUCUUUUGUCAUACUGCUCCAAUGGAUAUGAAAUUUUUAUGGUAUGCUCUGAGUGAUAUUAGAAUGCUCUGAUAAAUAUUUCAUGAUUUUUUUGGAGUGCUAUAUCUCUGAUAUGUAAUUUAUGUUAAUCCUAUGGCUUGUUUUCAUAUUUAAAUCAUAAUAAAUGUUGGAUGCUUAUGCUGGUGUUUUCCUUUGGUGUCAAGUUUGUUUGUAGUAAGAGUAGCUUGUAAAUAAUCUGAAAUCUGUUGUUUGACACUAGCUAAGCAAUGUUUCUUAAUUUAUGAAAUAAGCACCUUGUUACAUGUUAAAUACUUAUCUUAAGUUUGGCAUGUGCAAUUGCUCUGACAAUUUUAUGGCAAUGUCAAGGUGCCAUGCUUGUGCUUCUAUAAUUUUUGUAGAUUUUUCUGAGCACUUUUGCUGGUAUCUUGUAAUUAUGUCCUUUUAUGGAAUUAAAUUAAUAAAUACCUUAUUAUUGAAUGUUUAGUGGUCAACAUGUGAUGUUCUGGUAAUCUUAGGUUAUGCUUAUGUAUGUAAACCUUUUUGGUUGACACUAAAGAUGUCUUUGCUAUGUCAUCAAAUAAUUAAUUAAAGGUUUUUAGCUGUUCUGGACAGCAAGAGAGUAAUCUAACCUUUUCUUGAUGAUAACUUGGUUUUCUGAAGGACUUGUCUAAAUCAAAGAUGUUGUACACUUUAUGAGCUAGCUGUGGUUUAAAUUUGGGAUCAUUUGGUCCAGUAGUUUAAAAGUUAUAGCUCUUCCAAGAUGGGUUCCAGAAUUAGGUGUUCUCUGUUUUUCUGGGACAGAACAUGGAACUUUGUUUAAUUGACCUGUUUAACUUGUGAAUCUUGCUGUGAUGUCUAAAGAUGAAAUGUAGACAAUUUCAUAAGCUUUUCAGAAUGUCCUCAUUCAUGUUUUUUGGAUAUGUAUAUCAUUAGUUAUGAUUUAUUCCGUGAGCUGCUCUGUUAUUGGUUGUUGCUAUUUAUGGUUUAACUUGAUGAAUCUUGCUAAGUUAGUUAGUCAUCUUUUGUGAGCUUGUAAUUGGAGUUACUCCGUAAAUGAGUGUCUAGUGAAGUUCUAAUCUUGUACCAAGCAUUCAUCCUCAUCUAGAAUGCACACAUUUCUUACUCAUCGUGCAUACAAUAGGUGCACCAGAAGCGGCGACCUCGUUCGAGCUCAACCAGGUGAACGCCGAAGGCCAGGAGAUCAAUCCGGAAGCGGAGGUCCAGCCAGCCGGACACGAGGAGCCCGAAGAGGAGGUCGAGUGCCCUAAUCACGAGCCAGCCUCGUUCGUGAAAGGCAAGCCCCGGAGCAUCUUAUGUCUCCCACUUUAGUUUCAAAAGCUUACUUGAAUAUGUUAUAUCUAUUGAUGCAUUACGUAUAGGAGUUGUGAUGAAACCCUUGCUGCAUUUUACCCUUUUCCUUGUCCAGAUAUCUUACCACUACCUAGUUGUAGAGUUAGGACCGAGUAGCUGCUUAGCCCUGCUUUAAUCGGUAGAAGUCAGGUGAUAUCCUGUCACCUGCGUGAAAUAGGGUUGUGUCGGAUCACGAUUGACUAUAUGUGCUAUCGUGGAACGAACCUGAUUAAAAUGACUUAAGCCGGGCGGAGUUUUGCAAGGAUGUAGUGACUCCAUCUGUGGCAACUAAGGACCGAUCGUUGUACGUCCUCUUGUCAUGUUGAACGCAUGCCUGACACUUAUUUGGCCGGAUAACUCGUUUCGACCGCGAAGCCUAGUAGUAUGACUCAGGCCAGAAGACCGGCUAGUAUAAAGUGCGCACUACCGGAGGAAGUGCGGUGUGCGGGGGACCAUUGGCGUAAGACCAAAGGCAUGUGAGUUAAAAGUCCUGACCUCCCUAGCAGAGUGGUAGCCCUGAGAGUGCGGCGCUGAUCGGAGCCAAGAUUCCUGAGUUGUACCAAAGGUGACCCGCUUGCUCUCCGACGGGGGAUGCUUGGGUGAGUGCUAGGAAUAACCCUCCAGCUGGAUAGGAAUCGAUUCGAAUCACCGUCUCUCCCGGAUAGUGAGAACUUGACAGAGCAGCGGCAAACGUAGCAUUCACUAAGUACAAUGGUUCUUGAUAAUGAUGUUGAGGAUAGCAAGGAAGAACAUAUGAUGAAACUUGAUAUGGUUAUUAUUGUUUGUAAUAAUCAAGUGAAGUGCUUAGUCUAGGUGCUCAUCUAGUGGUAGGCUAAUGAUGAUUAAUAUAAUGCGUUCAAAUGGUGUAGUAUCCACUUAAGCUUUUUGCAAAUGAUGAGUCAAGCCAGCUACACUUUACACUCAGACUUGCAUAAUCCUUGGUGUCUUUUAUAUUUUACUAGACGGGUAAGUCUAGCUGAGUACAUCCUCGUACUCAGGGUUUAUUCCCACCUAUUGUAGAUGAUGUCUUUUAUGAUGGCUUCUGCAAGACAUGUCUCCAUCCCGCUGGGGAUGAGGACUAAACCGUUGGGCGCAGUUCUCUAACAAACUGCGUACCCCGUUUCUUUUGAUGAACAUGAUGAGACUCUGGCAAUAACAAGACUAUGGAAUGCGUGUUGUAAACUAUUUUGCUUCCGCUACUGUGAACUUGUGUUGUAACAACUAAGUACUCCGAUGUGGUGCCGCUUCGUCGGCAAUGUAUGACUAUGUAACAUUCGCUGUAUUAUGUUGAACUAUUAUGAUCUUGGUUUGUUGCAAGUUGGUUUGAAGUCCUUCGUGAUUUCAGUUGACUACCGGGAUUAUAUGGGCUCAAGUUUGGAAACUUGAUUGCUAGUUGAUCGUUUCUACACUUGAACUCUUAUAAUUGGUCGGUUCUGUGACAGCUGGCAUCGGAGCAAGUUCAACAUUUAAAUACAGCGUUUGUGUAUUUAAAAAUAAAAGAGUUUUUUUAAAUAAAUUGUGAAAUUCAAUACCUAAGUUAUGCCAGUGGUCGAAUCCUCCUUGCCCAUAUAAGGACUCUAGGUGGCUAUUUAAGUACUGACUUGGGGCUUUUAAUUAUGCAUCUCCGGCAGUACUCAGGUAUGGAUGUGUGAUGACUGCACUAUGCUACCCUGUGGUCAAAUGGUAGAGGUAGCCUUCAUAUGUGAAUUAGCCACAUAUGUUGCUAGAUUUAAGUUAUGCAACGUCGCACCUAGGCUCUGGUAAGUGUGAGCUGUGAGAGCAUGAUCGUCCAAACGGCGGUCUAGGGGAGUGUUCGCGGUGGUUUUCUAGAGUGGUUACAUGUCAAACCAUGGAACCACGAAGGAAACUUAAUUAGGGAGUAUUUAAUUUUUCGGGUAGCUGUGGUGUCAUUGUUUGUGCAUGUUGGGCAUGUAUAAGCAAUGUGCACUUAGUUUACUGCUUUCUUGAGUGAAAUAUUGGGAAUAUUGGGCUGCAAUGAAGUUUUCUGCAGGUACUCUAACAGCGCACGUGUACAUCGAUAGUUACCGUAUCGAGAGACGAAUGUAUGCCACCGUAUAUCCGAUAGAAUACUCUUUUCUAAGUUUGUGAGGAUGUACGGUUCGUGCAUGCAUCAUAUCGCAUUCAUACAUACAUUCUGUCUACUCCUUCCCUUACAAAAUCGUUCCUUUUAAGUUAAUAAAUGUUGCUUAAAAUUAAUCCUCUCUUACCGACGGUUAUUCCUUUCCACGGAUGGACGUGCCCGCUUCACCUCUCCCUAGUGACACCUUUCUGAGCGAGUUUGGCACUCCUACUCUGUGGUGGAGGGUGCUGUAGUCAGUGCGGUAUACUGAGCCACCUCAGUACUCUUGGUGGGAGGUGGACAUGACAGGAGACUUGCAGUGGUUCGCUGUGCAGGGAGUUGUCCCAACACAUGGGGGCAGGCCUGCAUGGACUGGGUGGACCUGCAACUCAGAUGGGCAGACUCCAUGCGAAGCAGCUCAGGUUGCAGCCCAUGCUAUGCUGCUCAACAUCUGUCAGAGGUUUGGCGAUGAGCUGACAAGAGGGCCAGCGACCUCCAUUCCCCAUGCUGACCCAGCAGCAGCGGAGUGGAAGUAGGCUGAUUGAUGUGCAUUGGUCCGUGGUCGAGGAGAGCAGGCUGAGAGCUCUAGUCCUGCUAUGAGUGCUAUGAUGGUUGUGCUCAAGCUGUUCAGUCAGCAAGAGGACACCUAUACACAGGUGAUGGUGGCUGUUCGCCAGGCUCAGGAGAUGCAACAGAAGGCUGAAAAGCGUGCUCGCAAGUUUCGCAAGCAAGCUAGACUCCUAGAGCAAGCCCAAAAGGACCGCAAUGACUGGGAAGAGAUUGCGGAGUACCGUAGGCAGCAGUGGGUGAAGGCCAUUAGAGAAAGAGAUCACAAGCAGGAUCAGAUGAGUCACUUGGCUAGGGAGAAGGAGACCGUGCACGAGCAUAUUGGGCAUUCUUAACAUCACUACCAAAAGUAGACUUAGUUCUCUAAUUCUAAUAACGGCGCCAAAAAUGCCAAACCUAUCCCUCAUGCCACUUAAGCCAAGUUGUCAUCCCCAGCAUGACAUGAGAGACGCGGUAUUGAAUAUGCAAUUGCUCUUCUAAAUAAAUAAUAAAUAAGAUCUGCAAGCGCACAGAUUAAUAUCAAUGUUGCAUUUUAACCGGGAAGUAUUCCAGGUAUUGUUAUUUAUAUUUUUACCACUGGGAAGGGAUUUCUAAUCAUCAAUGUUGAUUAUGGAAUGGAAUAUAGAAUUGAGUAUCUAUAAUUGCAUAUAUAAUCGAGAGCAUUUAUCUAUCUCUUUCAUACAGGGAUAAAUGUCACAUAAAAGAUAGAUAAAGUAUGAAUGGUUGUUGGGUAUUUUAAACGCAAACAGAAAAAUCCGCAAGCGCACGGAUACCGAUGUAGCCUUCACCCGGGAGUAUUCUAGAGUAUCGAUUUUCCACAGAGAACGUGAGUGUACUAAUUAAGAUCCAAGAUCGCCCAAGGAUAACUAUAUAAUUAUUUUUGGUGGGAAGAGAGGAAGUUUCCUGAGAGUUCUCUAGUUGAUCUAAGAAUCAAGAAUUACUUCAAGAUUAUCUAUAUCGGGACAUCAGAGCACUAACCACAGAAAGAGAUGAGAAGGGGGCUAGAAAGGUCUGACUACGGUCCUACAAACACCGAUCCGAAUGAGGUGGAAUACGUCGACCGUUAGGGCUGUCACUACCCUAAGGCUACCACAACAAUCCGUAGGAUUGGGUGCAAUUCCAGGUAAUUGCAAGACUAAACACCACGUCUAAUCUAUUAAUUACUACUCUAGCAUUAUAAAGACUAGAGCACUUGAUGCAAGCGGGAAUCCAAUAAAUAACUUGAAUGUAAAUAAAAGUAAUUAAAGAACUCAGGAAUUAUGAAUUGAAGAACCUAGAGAACGAUGAAGAACGAACCAGUUGCUGCAAAAGUACAAGGUUGAGGAAGAUCCGACAGAUCCGGCUCCUCCUCCGCUCUCCUCUUCUAUCUCCCUAUUUUCUAGAUUACAACUAGAAGUAACUAGAACUAGAACUAGAGGAACUAGAACUAGAACUAGAUGAACUAGAACUAGAUCUAGAUGAACUAGAAUUAGAACUAGAAGAACUAGAGGUAUCCUCUCUACUUGGAUGAAGAAUUAAAACCCUAGCUUUGAUUCUGUAGAAGAGGUAUGAUCUCUAGGGGCCAGGGGGUAUGGUUUUAUAGUCCCUUCAAGUGAAUCUGGGCCGUUGGAUCAAACCGACAUUGAUUGAACGGUUAUCCUUGAUCCUUUAGGUCGGUGGAGCAAUAUCCCGAAAGAGAGUCCUGAUUGGACUCUAUGUGAGGGCGGGCGCUUAGGAGAGUAGGGCGGGCGCCCUGUCCCUGAGUCCUCUCGGCUUCCGCUUUGUUCCCGUGGCUUCUGAAAUCUUCUAGAUGGUAGAAAAUUGCGCAGCACGUUAAUAUCUCUAUGUAAACCCGACGUGUGGGCCUUUCCUCCGUAUUUCCUGAUAACCCCCUGCAGAAAUAGACAAACACCAAAACUCGUGGAAUUCUGUCAGAUAAAACCCUAAGUCUAGGUGUUGGUUCCAUUUGGAUCCUUUUCCAUGAUUAGUUGAUGGUUAAAUGUGAGCAUUAAGGACUGUCAACAAGCUCCCCCAAGCUUAACCUUUGCUCGUCCCUGAGCAAAGAUGGACUCAAGAGUUUCUGUAGUGGUUUUAUGCCUUAAAAAUACACAUUCGUUCAAACAAGAUCUCAUCUCUGGGUUAGGGUAAACUGUUAAGAUUUAAACUUACUCAUUUUACCAUCCACCAUGGGGCUUGCAACCGUCACUUGUGUCUUGAGUAGUUAAAAGAUAGAACGGUCUAGUCAAGCGCCAUGUCUCAUGUUCUUCGAUUAACUAUAGCUCUAGAGUUUUUGCAGAUUUUCAAAUAAAACUUAGAGAUUCCUUGUAUGACUCUCUCUAGUCUCUCUUUUGUGGUAUUUCUGGAUCCUUACCAAGGCAGUAAUGAUUUAUGCCUUCUCUCAAAGUAUGUGGUAUUUUUGGUAUGAGGCAUAGUGACAUUGCCUUCUCUCUCAUCCUACUCUAAUAAGGCUUUUGAUAUCUGGAGCUCAUAGGUGGGAGACAGCUAAUACAUACUUAUAAGACAUUUAUUGCAUUGUCAAACCAUGGAUCCAGAAGAACGAGUCAAUAAGUCAAAUCAAGAUGUGCAUGUGUGGCGAAUGAAUGGUGUAUGGUGAUGAUGGUGAAAGUCUAAUUCUACUUGUGCUCUUUUGAGGGGAUACAAACCUUUCUUGCUCUUUUGAAACUUUUUGAGGAGAAUGAGAUGCUGUAUAUUUUCUUUUUUUCUAUCCUCUCAGGUGGGUAUCUUGUACCCCUAAUUCUACUGUCGGACACUUGUCUAUUUUUACCUCUCGUCUCACUUUUUCUUUUCUUUCGAGGUUCCGGGCACUUGCCCCUUUUUAUUUCCUCAGUUCCUUUUUUUCUCUCUUUUUUUAGAGCACUCAUCUCCUGAAAUAAUAUGGCAAGUGGUAGUAACCAAGAUAACUUGAGCAUUUAUUUCACAGGGGAAAAACAGAAAUGUUUUUGGCUAUUCUCUCUCGGAUUAGGAGUAGAAUAUUUUUGGAUGGUUCUGGAGAUGGAAAUGGGUGGAUAUAUGUGGAUUCGUACUUCCGGAGUAGAAGCAGCAUGUGUGAGUGAAUGUGCAAGUGAAUCUUGAUUUAACCACAUGACAAGCUCCUAAGGGUCUACAUAGCUUGACCACACUCAAUGCUCAUAAGCAGUAAAAAGUAAAUGUGUGGCUCAAAUUCUUAGCAAGCAUGUAUAUAUGGCUGUGGUAGGAAUUCAAACUCUCAUCAUACAGGAACUCAUCAUAUGCUAUUUUAAAGAUUUUCAAAGAUAAAAUUUUCCAGAAUUCUAGCAUCUCUAGGAACAGAUAAGCAGCAGCUCAACCUUUCCAUAUCAUAUCUGUUAACAACUUAGACUUCAGCUCAAGUUCUCUUCCCACAAGUUCAGGUUUAGAGCAAAUCUUAAUUAAUAACUGUCAUGCCUAAACUUGAGAGACAUUUUAAUUUUGAGAACUAGUCAUGGUAGAGCAACUAUUCAUCAUUUCCAUGUGAGAGCUUACCAUAAGGGUUCAUAGCAAACUUUAUUUAUUUAGCAAACUAAGCAAAGAUAUAUAUAAAAGCACAAAAUCUUUAUUUGGGUUUUUAUCAUUAUGCAUCUUUUUAUUAUUUGAGUAAAAUAUAAACGUGAGUAGAACACUUAGCUGGAUAAAUGGGGGUGCUCUCCCCCAAGUUGGAUUUUGACAUAAUUUCUUCUGAUGUAGCUAGCAGGUGGUGGAGGUGUAUUUGAAUGUCGGCAGCACCCUGACAGCGAUUAGGAUGUCCUCCGUCUGGUAGUCUUCUUUGAUCCUUGAAUUCUGUGGAGCUCAAAUAGACAACAAAUCUUUGUGGAACUAGUUAAGUGUUAGCAUAAAUAUGUAGCCUUUAUCAUGUUGAGCCUCCUCAAUAAAUAUUACUUUCUUUAGUAGGAUCAUAAAUUUAUUUUUAUAUUUUCAUUUUUAUAGGACAGGAAUAUAUUUAUUUUAUUUUUACGCCACCACAGUGAAUGUACUUAUGGGUUUUAUGCCAUGAGCAUACUCACAUGGGGCUUACUAUUUUUAACAUUUUUAUUUUCUUUUCAAGAUGAUAUGAACCUGAUUAACUAAGCAAACUAUUUUAAAUAAUUGAAAGGAAAAGGAUAACUACCAAGUUUACCUCUUGGCAGGGCGUUCGGUGUUUUUAAGUCCACCGAACGGGACUCUCCGUUUUCUCAGUCGUCCUGGGAUUCGCUGGAUGGCAUAGUCGGUGGUUCCGGCGGCGCUUGCUCUUCGUGUAAAACUAUCUUCUUUCUCCACACCUGACUCGGUGCUAUGGUCUCCUCAGGACAGUUCUGUUCAAGCUGUAUGUCUUCAGACCUUACAACUUCUCCUUCAUAGUCAGCCCAUCUGUCCUUGAUGAUUUGCCUCCUCUGGUUGCGGUUGUGUCGUCUUCUUCUUGUCCAACCUGCUUAGAAUCUUCAACUAUAUAGUUAGGGUCAGUGAAAUAGCCGCGUACCUUCUCAGAGGGGAAGUGUAUGUGGACUUCUCUGGUUCCAAUGUAGAUGAUUGCUUUAACGGUGCUAAAGAUCGGUCUUCCAAGGAUGAUGGGUGGAUCGUACUCGUCUUCUCCCAUGUCAAUAACCUUCAAUCUUUCAGAAUGUCUCAUCUGCCAUCUGGAGCUGAAUGUAUGUCGGUUUUAGGGGCAUGGUUCCCAAUAGGAGCUGAUAGGUGACUGGGUCGUCCUUUUUGGUCAGGAACUGUGACUUUAAGUCGACGAUCUUGACCUCCUUGAACUACAGUGACCGUCUUAGCUGACUUGGUCCACAUUUGCUUGUUCAUGUUCCUCCUGUUGGUCCUCUUUCUUGGUUCAUGUCGGGAUUGCUUUGAGAUUUGUGUAGUCUUGUUCUUGAAGGAAAACGUCUCCUUCCUCCCCUUGAUGUAGAAAUGGAUUUUAGCAGCACUAGUGUAGAUGACAGCUCCCGAGGUGUUCAGGAAUGGCCUCCCUAGGAUGAUGGAUGCCCUCUCAUCAGUAUCAGUCUCUAUCACCACGAAGUCUGCUGGAGCGUAUAAGGUACCAACUCGGACGUAGAGGUUCUUCAAUAUUCCCUUUGGGAAACUUAGUGUCUGAUCUGCAAGCUGCAAACACAUGGUUGUUUCCUAGGCAUAAUGUUGACACUGGAGCCAAAGUUGUAGAGUGCUUCUGGGAUAACGGUGCGUCCUGGAUCGCCUCUCUUGACCGGCAGAAGGUCAGUAAUUACUUCCACAACGGGGUUACUCCAGUAGUUACGUCCUCAAGCAUCUCAGGGCAGUGAUUGCCUGAGUGUCUAGUAUCUCCAGUGUGUUUGUGCUCGUAGAUCUAGGUUCUUCACUUGGUGGAGUCUGGGAGUUGUAAAAGUCCUUCAUAUUUUGCUCGAAGUGUACCUGCUCAUAGAGACAAGGCAGAGAUCAAGUGCAUGGGCCCUGUUGAUGGAAAAAACCAACAGAACCAAAAGUGUAUUUGUUCUUCUCUAUCCUUAAGCAUAGUGAGCAAAACAAAGUAGAUGGAUAAUAAGAUCAUGGGUGUAGCAUUUAAAACAUUUAUCAGAUCAGAUCGCUCAACCUAAUGGAAAGAUAAUCUAUCUAUACUUAUGUGUUUUCUUUUUUUUUUAUAUAUAUCUUCCAAAGACUGAGUGUGCAACACUUUAGCUCAUAUGAUUAGGAGUGCGGGAUCACAAAGGUGGAAGGACUAAACAUGUUGAAUCAGUUGGGUUGGUUAAUCUAUAGCUGUAAAUCAUACAUGUUUGUCUCUUUUAUUCAUGUGAACGCCAGAACCAAGGAGAAGCUUUAUAAAAGUGAUAGUCAAGUACCUUAAGAUGUUACCUUACUUGAAGAGUGAUGGUACAGUAUCACCUUAUGGAAGCUUUCCUUUCUUAGCGGUUGUGCAUCGUGUUUGUGGCACCCUCCAUGGAUCAUCUCUUGUGAGCUAUGUCUUCCUUGUGUAAAUUGUUAAACUUUAUGUGUCUCUCUCUUUGUCUCCAAUGUGAGUUUAUCUCAGGACUUCCCAGGUCGAUAUUGAAUGUUUUCCUACAGGGGUUAGUCCAACAAAAUAUCCAAUAUCUACUAUAGCAUAUUAUCGGCUCAAAAAUCAACCUAGACACCAUGUCUAAUUUGAUUUAGGAGGGCAUUUUAACCUAAGCAUCAUGCUUAAUUUAAACUCCCUUGGAAGUAAAAUCAUCAGCCCUAAACUAAGCACCAUGCUUAAUUAAGAGAUAAAUGAAACUAAUCCAAACCUAGACAUAUACUAAAGCAAAUAAAGGUAGCAUGAGAGCAUUUAUAGAGAUCUACUCAAGUGGAGAUGAAGUAGUGUGAUUACUAUUUAACAAAUUGAGCAUGUCUCAAAGGUAGGAACAACCAACAUAGCAACAUGGCAAAUGAUGUUUUUAUAUAAAGUACUCCCCCAAGCUUGAAUUUUGCAAAAUUCAAGUUUGGAUUAAUUUAAUUCAAUGUUGUAUGAUGGUUAGUUGGACAUACCUUGUGCUUGUCAUUCAUCCGAUCUUCUUGCUCCAAUCCUAAAAAGGUUAGUGACAAGAAUACCCGAAGGAAUACUUUUACAAUUAUCCUUAUAUGCUCAACACACAAGGUAAUGUUGCAUAUAAUUAAAAGCUGAUGUUACGAUCUAAUCAGUGCUUGUUUUAGGACACUAAGCUUGCCCUUGGGAAACCAUCAAUUUAUGUCAGCGAAGAGGUUUCCCCUCCAACGCUGACCUAUAUCAAGAUUAACUCAACGAGAUCUGCAAUAUUUAAUAUAGACAUAUGCAUCGACAACCGCCCUUUUAAAGUUUUUAUAAAUAGAAAGGAAGUGGGAGUUGGAGAUCUCGAAUGUGGUGAUGUUGGAAAAACCAAUGGAUUGGAAAGAUGUUGCAUAUGAGCAUGGAGCAAAUGAAGUGGCUAUGAAAUAAAUUCCAUGCUCAUUAAUGCUUAGAGUGAAAUCCAUGUGGUAUGGUGAAAAUGAUAAGGUGACUGUGGUAAAAAAAGGAAAAGAAAAAGGAUACACGGACGACUUGGUUCGAAACUAGCACCGCUACCGUUCCCCGGCAACGGCGCCAGAAAGCUUGUUGGGUAUUUUAAACGCAAACAGAAAAAUCCGCAAGUGCACGGAUACCGAUGUAGCCUUCACCCGGGAGUAUUCCAGAGUAUCGAUUUUCCACAGAGAAUGUGAGUGUACUAAUUAAGAUCCAAGAUCGCCCAAGGAUAACUAUAUAAUUAUUUUUGGUGGGAAGAGAGGAAGUUUCCUGAGAGUUCUCUAGUUGAUCUAAGAAUCAAGAAUUACUUCAAGAUUAUCUAUAUCGGGACAUCAGAGCACUAACCACAGAAAGAGAUGAGAAGGGGGCUAGGAAGGUCUGACUACGGUCCUACAAACACCGAUCCGAACGAGGUGGAAUACGUCGACCGUUAGGGCUGUCACUACCCUAAGGCUACCACAACAAUCCGCAAGAUUGGGUGCAAUUCCAGGUAAUUGCAAGACUAAACACCACGUCUAAUCUAUUAAUUACUACUCUAGCGUUAUAAAGACUAGAGCACUUGAUGCAAGCGGGAAUCCAAUAAAUAACUUGAAUGUAAAUAAAAGUAUUUAAAGAACUCAGGAAUUAUGAAUUGAAGAACCUGGAGAACGAUGAAGAACGAACCAGUUGCUGCAAAAGUACAAUGUUGAGGAAGAUCUGACAGAUCCGGCUCCUCCUCCGCUCUCCUCUUCUCUCUCCCUAUUUUCUAGAUUACAACUAGAACUAACUAGAACUAGAACUAUAGGAACUAGAACUAGAACUAGAUGAACUAGAACUAGAUCUAGAUGAACUAGAAGUAGAACUAGAAGAACUAGAGGGAUCCUCUCUACUUGGAUGAAGAAUUGAAACCCUAGCUUUGAUUCUGUAGAAGUGGUAUGAUCUCCAGGGGCCAGGGGGUCUGGUUUUAUAGUCCCUUCAAGUGAAUCUGGGCCGUUGGAUCAAACCGACAUUGAUUGAACGGUUAUCCUUAAUCCUUUAGGUCGGUGGAGCAAAAUCGUCCCUUCAAGUGAAUCUGGGCCGUUGGAUCAAACCGACAUUGAUUGAACGGUUAUCCUUGAUCCUUUAGGUCGGUGGAGCAAUAUCCCGAAAGAGAGUCCUGAUUGGACUCUAUGUGAGGGCGGGCGCCUAGGAGAGUAGGGCGGGCACCCUGUCCCUGAGUCCUCUUGGCUUCUGCUUUGUUCCGGUGGCUUCUGGAGUCUUCUAGAUGGUAGAAAAUUGCGCAGCACGUUAAUAUCUCUAUGUAAACCCGACGUGUGGGCCUUUCCUCCGUAUUUCCUGAUAACCCCUGCAGAAAUAGACAAACACCAAAACUCGUGGAAUUCUGUCACAUAAAACCCUAAGUCUAGGUGUUGGUUCCAUUUGGAUCCUUUUCCAUGAUUAGGUGAUGGUUAAAUGUGAGCAUUAAGGACCGUCAACAAUGGUGACAAAGAUAAUUAAUCUGAUCAGCAUAACUUAGCCACAUAUAAUAAUGAUAAGUACCUCAAUAGAUAUUCUAGCAAGUCAUUAUCAUAGAAUUAGGACGAACUACAAGAAUAUUUCCUAAGUUAUUCUUAACUAUAAAGUCUAGCAUAUCAUAGUUAGUGCAAUUAUACUUGGCAAUCAUUGCGAGAUAGGACUACGCCCAUGCAUAGUGAUAUUAUCAAGGAAGAUGAGAAACAUAGCAAUCACUCCCCUGUAAUAAUGUUGCUCUGCCAGCCCUAUACACGAGAGGGGGACUAUAUAAGAAUCAAUGGAGCUGUCACUACCAUGAACUACCCCGCGAUCUGGCAUAUAGGGUACAAUCUGUUGAUAUUUGGUAACGCAAUAAUGAAAUGAUCCGCAAGCGCACGGAUAUCGGUGAGCAUUUCACCCGGGUGGUUAUCCAGAGUUAUCGUAUUUAUAUUUUUACCACUGGGAGAAAGGGUGCAUCUGACUAACCAAAUCUAUUGCUACUAUCCCUUUAGGCUACAAAGAAUGUCUCUCGAUGUGAGUGAUGUAUAGAGAAGACUGCAACCGUAGUCUCGUCCUAACCUUGGUAAGGAUGAUCUACUGUUCUAUUGGGGAGGCUCACGGAAUCUAGACAACACAAAGGAUGUUCGACCCGCACCUAUAAACCUACCCGUCCUGCUAACGAGAUGUGAUCUGCAAAGGUAACUCGGAAAUGUCACGUUCCUCGCUACUACCACGGUCCAGCUAGUCAGGGGAUAUCUAUGAGUACCCUAGCCUAAACACCACGUUUACGCUAACAAGUGAUUACUCUAAUACUCAACCGGAAGAGGAUUAAAGUAAACUCAUAAACCAAAGAACAAUAAAACAAGAACUUACUAGUAUUAGAAGUCGAAUUUCUGAAGAAUCUUAGAAGCAAGCCUCGCGUUAGGAGACUUGAUACCGUAGGUACAACUCGGAGUAGACACCGACAGGCCGGCCUUCCUCCGAUCCACACCUCCACUCUAUCUCUCUCAAUCUAGUAGAAACUAGAAGAUCUAUUUCUACCUUACAUUGGUUGCUAAGCCUAAAAAGAAAUAUUAUUUAGAGAAGAGGUUUUCCUUCGAGGGCACCCCUCAAUCUCUAUGAUAAUUUCCUGUCUCCUCCAGGGCCAGAGGGGGUCUCCUUAUAUAGUCCUCCCCUUCUAUGCAUUUUUAGGUCGAUAGGCGAGGUGGUACUAUGUUAUUCUGGAUCCAAUAGGUCGGUGGAACGUCGUGUGCGAAGAGAGUCCUGUUUGGACCCGACAGGUGGGCGGGCGCCCUGGGCCUGGCCCCGUUUCGCCUCCGCUUCGGUCUCGUGGCUUCUGGAGUCUUCUAGAUGGUAGAAAAUUGCGCGGUGGGUUGAUAUCUCUAUGUAAUCCCGACAUGUGGGCCUUUCUUUCUUAUUUCUUGAUAACCCCCUGCAGAAAUAGACAAACACCAAAACUCGUGGAAUUCUGUCAGAUAAAACCCUAAGUCUAGAUGUUGAUUUCAUUUGGAUCCUUUUCUUUGUUUAUUUGAUAAUUAAAUUUGAUACUUAAGGACCGUCAACAAACUCCCCCAAGCUUACCUCUUGCUCGUCCCUGAGCAAGGAUAGACUCGGCAAUGGAUCAUAAAUUGUUGCAAUAUUUUUUAAAAUUGAUGUACACAUGCUUUUUAAAUAAGAUCUCAUCUCUGAGUUAGAGUAAACUGUCAAGACUUAAAACUUACUUACUUUACCUUUCACCAUGGGACUUGUAACUGUCACUUCUGUCUUGAGAGGUUAAAAGAUAGAACAGUCUAGUCAAGUGCCAUGUCUCUUAUUCUUGAUCAGCUAUAGCUCUGGGGUUUUUGCAGAUUUUCAAAUAAAACUCAGAGAUUCCUUAUAUGACUCUCUCAGAUCUCUCUUUUGUGGUAUUUCUGGAUCCUUACCAAGGCAGUAAUGGUAUAUGCCUUCUCUCAAAGUAUGUGGUAUUUUUGGUUUGAGGCAUAGUGAUAUUGCCUUCUCUCUCACCCUACUCUAAUAAGGUUCUGAUAUCUGGAGCUCAUAGGUGGGAGACAGCUAAUACAUACUUACAAGACAUUUAUUGCAUAGUCAAACCAUGGAUCCAGAGAAACAAGUCAAUAAGUCAAAUCAAGAUGUGCAUGUGUGGUGAAUGAAUGGUGUAUGGUGAUGAUGAUGAUAAUAAUGGUGAAAGUCUAAUUCUACUUUUGCUCUUUUGAGGGGAUACAUACCUUUCUUGCACUUUGAACCUUUUUAGGGAGAAUGAGAUGCUCUAUAUUUUCUUUUUCUUUCCUCUCAGGUGGGUAUCUUGUACCCCUAAUUCUACUGUCGGACACUUGUCCAUUUUUACCUCUCGUCUCACUUUUUAUUUUCUUUCGAGGUUCCGGGCACUUGCCCCUUUUUAUUUCCUCGCAUUUUUCCUAUUUUUCUUCUUUCUUUUUUUUUCUUUUCUUUCUUUUUUUUCAGAGCAUUCAUCUCUUGAGAUAAUAUAGCAAGUGGUAGUAACAAGAUAACUUGAGCAUUUAUUUCACAAGGGGAAACAGAAAUAUUUUUGGUUAUUCUCUCCUGGAUUAGGAGUAGAAUAUUUUUGGGUGAUUCUGAAGAUGGAAAUGGAUGGAUAUAUGUGGAUGGUACUUCCGGAGUGGAAGUAGCAUAUAUGAGUGAAUGUGCAUGUGAAUCUUGAUUUAACCACAUGACAAGCUCCUAAGGGUCUACACAGCUUGACCACACUCAAUGCUCAUAAGCAGUAAAUAGUAAAUGUGUGGCUCAAAGUCUAGCAAGCAUGUAUAUAUGGUUGUGGUAGGAAUUUAAACUCUCAUCAUACAGGAACUCAUUAUGCAACAUUUUAAAGAUUUUCAAAGAUAAAAUUCUCCAGAAUUCUAGCAUCUCUAGGAACAGAUAAACAGCAGCUCAACCUUCCCAUAUCGUAUCCGUUAACAACUUAGACUUCAGAUCAAGUUUUCAUCCCACAAGUUUAGGUCUAGAGCAAGCCUUAAAUUAUAACAGUUAUAUCUAAACUUGAGAGAGAACUUCAAAUUUGCAAAUUAGGCAGAGCAACUAUUCAUCAUAUCCAUGCUUAAGUUUUAUUAGAUACAGAUUAGCAUAGCCACUUUAUUUAUUUAUUAAACACACUAAGCAAAAUAUAUAUAAGCAUAAAAUCUUUAUUUGGUUUUUCAUAGUUAUGUGUAUUUAUAUUCUAAUAUAGUAUAAGUAUAAAGAUAGAUAGAAAUACUUAUCGAGAUAAAUGGGGAUGCUCUCCCCCAAGCUGAAUUUUGACGUAAUUUCUCUUGAUGUAGCUAGCAGGUGGCAGAGGUGUGUUUGAAAGUCAGCAGCAUUCUGACAGCGAUUAGAAUGUCCUCCGUCUGCUAGUCUUCUUGAUUCUUAAAUUCUGUGGAGCUCAAAUAGACAACAAAGCUUGUGGAACUGAUUAAGUGUUAGCAUAAAUAUCUAGCCUCUAUCAUGUUGAGACUCCUUAAUAAAUAUUACUCCCUGUUUUUAUAUUUUUGUUUUUAUAAAGCAGAAAAAUAUUUAUUUUAUUUUUAUGCCACCACAGUGAAUGUACUUAUGGGUUUUAUGCCACUUGUCUACUCACAUGGGGCUUACAGUUUUUUUCACAGUUUUAUUUUCUUUCUAGGAUAAUACGAACAUGAUUAACUAAGUAAACUAUUUGAAAUAAUUAAAAGGGAAAGGAUAACUACCAAGUUUACCUCUUGGUAAGGCGUUCGGUGUUUUUAAGUCCUCCGAACGGGACUCUCCGUUUUCUCAGUCGUCCUGGGAUUCGCUGGAUGACGUAGUCGGUGAUUCCGGUGGCGCCUCCUUUUCGUGUAUAAUUAUCAUCUCUUUCCACACCUGACUCGGUGCUACGGUCACCUCAGGACAGUUCUGUUCAAGCCGUAUGUGUUCAGACCUUAUCACUUCUUCUUCGUAGUCUACCCAUCCGUCCUUGAUGAUUUGCCUCCUCUGGUUGCGGUUGCGUUGUCUUCUUCUUGUCCUGACCUGCUUAGAAUCUUCAACUAUAUAAUCAUUAAAGUAGUGGCGUACCUUUCUCAGAGGGGAAGCGCAUGUGGACUUCUCCGGUUCCAAUAUAGAUAAUGGCUUUGAUAGUGUUUAGGAACGGUCUUCCAAGGAUGGUGGAUGGAUCAUACUUGUCUUCUCCCAUGUCAAUAACUUGAAAGUCAUCUAUAGCUGAAUGUAUAUUGGUUGUAGGGGCAUGGUUUCAUGCAAGAGCUGAUAAGUGACUACGACCAUUAUGUUGACGUCAGAUCCGGUGUCGUAGAGUGUCUUCUGAAAAGAGUAUCUGUUGAUUGUGCACUCAAUGCUUAGAACACCAGGGUCGUCCUUCUUGAUCAAGAAAGGUGACUUGAGUCAACGAUCUUGACCUCCUUGAACUGCAGUGACCAUCUUAGCUGACUCGGUCCACAUUUGCUUGUUCCUGUUUCUCCUGUUGGUCCUCUUCCUUGGUUCAUGUCGGGGUGGCUCUGAAGUUUCUAGUCUUGUUCUUGAAGGAAAAUCUCCUUCUUUCCCUUGAUGUAGAGACUGAUCUUGGCAGCAUUAGCGUAGAUGACAGCUCUAGUGUUUAGGAAUGGCCUCCCUAAGAUGAUGGGUGCCCUCUCCUCAGUACCAGUCUCUAUCACCACGAAGUCUGCUAGAGCGUACAAGGUACCAACUCGGACGCAGAGGUUCUUCAAUAUUUUCUUUGGGAAACUGAGUGUCCGAUCUGCAACCCUGGGCAUAAUGUUGACGCUGGAGCCAAAGUUGCAGAGUGCUUCUGGGAAGUCCACCAUGCCGAUGGAGAUCGGGAUGACGGGGCGUCCUAGAUCACCUCUCUGAGUAAUUAGGCCUCUGUUGAUUCCAACCUUGAUUUUGUUGAGGACGGUUGUAGUAAUAGUUGUUAUUGUUGUUGAUGUAGUUCACGUCCUCAAGCAUCUGAGGGCAGUGAUUGCCUGAGCGUCCAGUAUCUCUAGUGUGUUUGUGCUCGUAGAUCCUAGUUCUUCACUUGGUGGAAUCUGGGAGUUGUAAAACUCCUUCAUAUUAUGCUCGAAGUGUUCCUGCUCAUAGAGACAAGGUAGAGAUCAAGUGCAUGGGCCCUGUUGGUGGAAAACACCAACAGAACCAAAAGUGUAUUUGUUCUUCUCUAACCUUAAGCACAGUGAGCAAGACAAAGUUGAUGGAUCAUGAGUGUAGCAUUUAUCAGAUCGGAUGGCUCAACCUAAUGGAAAGAUAAUCUAUCUAUAUUUAUGUUUUGUUUAUAUCUUCCAAAGAUUGAAUGUGCAAUAUUUUAGCUUAUAUGAUUAGGAGUGUGGGAUCACGAAGGUAGUACUAAGAACAAAGAUUAAAGGACUAAACAUGUUGAAUUAAUUGAGUUGGUUAAUUUGGAGUUACAGAUCAUACAUGUUUGUCUCUUUAUUUUAUGUGAACGCUAGAACCAAGGAGAAGCUUAUAAAAGAGAUAGUCAAGUACCUUAAGAUGUUAUUGAAGAGUGAUGGUAUAGUAUCACCUUGUGGAAGCUUUCCUUUCUUAGUGGUUGUGCAUCGUGUUUGUGGCACCCUCCAUGAAUCAUCUCUUAUGAGCUACGUCUUUCUUGUGCAAAUUGUUAAACUUCAUGUGUCACUUUCUUCAUCACCAAUGUGAGUUUAUCUCAGGACUUCCCAGGUUGAUAUUGAAAGUUUUCCUGCAGGGGUUAGUCCAACAAAAUAUCCCAUAUCUACUAUAGUAUACUAUCAGCUCAAAAAUCAACCUAGACACCAUGUCUAAUUUGAUUUAGAAGGGCAUUUUAACCUAAGCACCAUGCUUAAUUUAAAAUCCCUUGGAAGUAAGAUAAUCAUUCCUAAACUAAGCACCGUGCUUAAUUAAGAGAUAAAUGAAACUAUUCCAAACCUAGGCAUAUACUAAAGCAAAUAAAGGUAGCAUGAGAGCAUUUAUAGAGAUCUACUCAAAUGGAGGUGAAGUAGUGCAAUUAGUACUUAACAAAUUGAGCAUCUCUCAAAGGUAGGGACAACCAACGUAGCAACAUGGCAAAGGAUGUUUUUAUGUAAAGUACUCCUCCAAGCUUGAAUUUUGCAAAAUUCAAGUUUGGAUGAAUUUAAUUCAAUGUUGUGUGAUGGUUGGUUGGACAUACCUUGUGCUUGUCAUUCAUCUGAUCUUCUUGCUCCAAUCUUGGAAAGGUUAGUGACAAGAAUACCCGAAGGAAUAUUCCUACAAUUAUCUCAAUAUGCUCAAUACACAAGGCAAUGUUGCAAAUAAUUAGAAGUGCUUGUUUUAGGACAUUAAGCUUGUCCUUGGGAAACCAUCAAUUAACUCAACGAGAUCUGCAAUAUUUAUUAUAGACAUAUGCAUCGACAACCGCCCUUUUAAAGUUUUUAUAAAUAGAAAGGAAGAGAGGGUUGGAGAUCUCAAAUGUGGUAAGGAUGGAGAGACCAAUUGAUUGGGAAGAUGUUGCAUAUGAGCAUGGACUUGGUGAGGUAUUUAUGAAAUAACUUCCAUGCUCACUGUUGUUUCUCUCAUUCUCAAACUCCAAGGAUGAUUCUUCAUGAAUGCUUAAGAUUCCUCUAGGAUUGUCUCUCAAGUUUGUUUUAUCUAUCCAUUCAAUGGUGAUAGCACAUGGAUUUUUAAUGUCCUCUAGCCAUUGAUGUUGCUCUUCUCGAUCCUCCUUCUUAUGCAUGGGAUGUCUAGAGAGAUUCAUAGGAUUAUCGGGAGGUUCAAGAGAAAGAGCAUAGUAGAAACUAUUAAGCUCAAGGAUGGGAUGGAUAGCCGAAUUAUGGGAUUGAAAUAUUUGGAAAUUGGCUAUGGAAACUUCCUUUCCUUGUCUGGGAGGUGACUCCUUCUCUAUCUCUAAGAUUUUUCUAUGAAGACUAGUAUAAGAAGGAUGUCCACAAAUGAAGACAAACCUUCCUUUACUAAUAGAUAAAGAAAGAAGGACUCUACCAAAGUUUAUAUGAUUAAGACCAAUAUGAAAAUAUCUAGGAAAAACAUGGUCUUGUAGGGCUAGGUCUAAACCAGAAUUUAUAGAAAGAUUAAAAGAUUCCCUAGGUGUAGCUAAAAGUGCAUUAUCUUCUUGAUUAAAAGAUAGGACCUCGGCUAUAGAAAAGGGUUGGUUUUGACCUAUUGCAAUCAACUCCGGACACAGAUCAUAAUUAGGGGCAGGACGUGUUGACUCCCAUGGUCUAUGGCUGGUCUCCGAAGGUGCAAAUAAUUUAAUAAUAGGUAUGGAAUUUGAGUUAUCCAUAAAGAUAAAAAGAUAAAAGAAUAAAAAUAUAAAAGUAUAAUACAAGAUAAUAGCAAGAUUCAAAGUUAUCUCAGCAAACCGUCUUUCUCCCCGGCAACGGCGCCAGAAAUGCUUGUUGAUAUUUGGUAACGCAAUAAGGAAAUGAUCCGCAAGCGCACGGAUAUCGGUGAGCAUUUCACCCGGGAGGUUAUCCAGAGUUAUCGUAUUUAUAUUUUUACCACUGGGAGAAAGGGUGCAUCUGACUAACCAAAUCUAUUGCUACUAUCCCUUUAGGCUACAAAGAAUGUCUCUCGAUGUGAGUGAUGUAUAGAGAAGACUGCAACCGUAGUCUCGUCCUAACCUUGGUAAGGAUGAUCUACUGUUCUAUUGGGGAGGCUCACGGAAUCUAGACAACACAAAGGAUGUUCGACCCGCACCUAUAAACCUACCCGUCCUGCUAAUGAGAUGUGAUCUGCAAAGGUAACUCGGAAAUGUCACGUUCCUCGCUACUACCACGGUCCAGCUAGUCAGGGGAUAUCUAUGAGUACCCUAGCCUAAACACCACGUUUACGCUAACAAGUGAUUACUCUAAUACUCAACCGGAAGAGGAUUAAACUAAACUCAUAAACCAAAGAACAAUAAAACAAGAACUUACUAGUAUUAGAAGUCGAAUUACUGAAGAAUCUUAGAAGCAAGCCUCGGGUUAGGAGACUUGAUCCCGUAGGUACAACUCGGAGUAGACACCGACAGGCCGGCCUUCCUCCGAUCCACACCUCCACUCUAUCUCUCUCAAUCUAGUAGAAACUAGAAGAUCUAUUUCUACCUUACAUUGGUUGCUAAGCCUAAAAAGAAAUAUUAUUUAGAGAAGAGAUUUUCCUUCGAGGGCACCCCUCAAUCUCUAUGAUAAUUUCUUGUCUCCUCGAGGGCCAGAGGGGGUCUCCUUAUAUAGUCCUCCCCUUCUAUGCGUUUUUAGGUCGAUAGGCGAGGUGGUACUAUGUUAUUCUGGAUCCAAUAGGUCGGUGGAACGUCGUGUGCGAAGAGAGUCCUGUUUGGACCCGACAGGUGGGCGGGCGCCCUGGGCCUGGCCCCGUUUCGCCUCCGCUUCGGUCUCGUGGCUUAUGGAGUCUUCUAGAUGGUAGAAAAUUGCGCGGUGGGUUGAUAUCUCUAUGUAAUCCCGACAUGUGGGCCUUUCUUUCUUAUUUCCUGAUAACCCCCUGCAGAAAUAGACAAACACCAAAACUCGUGGAAUUCUGUAAGAUAAAACCCUAAGUCUAGAUGUUGAUUUCAUUUGGAUCCUUUUCUUUGUUUAUUUGAUAAUUAAAUUUGAUACUUAAGGACCGUCAACACAAUCGUAGAUAAAUACGGUAUAGGCACCACGCCUACACAAUACUUAUCAUUUACCCACUGUACACAUGGAUAAACGCUAUACGAUCCUAAACAUGUAUAUAAUUCCAAUCUAACUAAGCCAAGCAUAUAACUAUGAUAAACUAAGAACAAUAUAAUUGCAAAUAUAAACAAGUAGAGCAAAGUCAUAAUCAAUAUAUUGAAGUAGAACAAAGUCAUAUUCAUAAUAUUGAAGAACAAAGAUGAACAAUUGAAGAACAAUAGAGGAAUUACCAAGAAUCCUCCUGACAGAUCCGGAAACCAAUCGAAGAUUGACUCCUUCUAGUUCUAAUCCUAUGUAGCUAUGCUAAACUAGAGAUCUAUUGAUGUGGUGGCUCUAGAGCUUGAUCAGAGGCUUCUUCUCCCGAGAUGGAUAAUGAAUUAGGGUUUCUUAGGGAUAGAGGUGCUCUCCUCCAGGGGCUAGGGGGUCUGCUUAUAUAUUCCUUCCAAAUGAAUGUGGGCUGUAGGAUCAAACCGACAUUAAUCGCACAGUUUUCCUUGAUCCUUUAGGUCGGUGGAGCAUGAUCCGCGAGAUUGGUUCUAAUUGGCCCUCUGGCUAGGGCGGGCGCCCAAGGGGGGAGGGCGGGCGCCCUGCCCGAGGGCCCGAUCAGCCUCCCGUUCGUUCCCGUGGCUUCUGGACUCUUCUAGAUGUUAGAUAAUUGUGCGGCACGUUCAUAUCUCUAUGUAAACCCGACGUGUGGGCCUUUCUUCCAUAAUUCCUGAUAACCCCCUGCAGAAAUAGACAAACACCAAAACUCAUGGAAUUCUGUCAGAUAAAACCCUAACUCUGGGUGUCGGUUGCAUUUGGAUCCUUUUGUCUAUUUAUUUGCUGAUUAUAUUUGAUUCUUAAGGAUCGUCAACAAACUCCCCCAAGCUUACCUCUUGCUCGUCCCUGAGCAAGGAUAAUCUCAGUGAUGGUCAGAAGUUGCUGUAAUGCCUUUAAAAGUUGACGGUACACAUGCUUUUAAAUAAGGUCUCAUCUCUGAGUUAGAGUAAACUGUCAAGACUUAAAACUUACUCACUUUAUCUUUCACCAUGAGACUUGUAACCGUCACUUCUGUCUUGAGCAGUUAAAAGAUAGAAUGGUCUAGUCAAGCACCAUGUCUCUUAUUCUUGAUCUGCUAUAGCUCUGGAGUUUUUGCAGAUUUUCAAAUAAAACUCAGAGAUUCCUUUGUAUGACUAUCUCAGAUCUCUCUUUUGUGGUAUUUCUAGAUCCUUACCAAGGCAGUGAUGGUACUUGCCUUCUCUCAAAGUAUGUGGUAUUUGUGGUAUAAAGCAUAAUGACAUUGCCUUCUCUCUCAUCCUACUCUAAUAAGGCUUUGAUAUCUGGGGCUCAUAGGUGGGAGAUAAAGUAUACAUACUUACAAGACAUUUAUUGCAUACUCAAACCAUGGAUCCAAAGAAACAAGUCAAUAAGUCAAAUCAAGAUGUGCAUGUGUGGCGAAUGAAUGGUGUAUGGUGAUGAUGGUGAUAACAAUGGUGAAAGUCUAAUUCUACUUGUGCUCUUUUGAGGGGAUACAUACCUUUCUUGCUCUUUGAAACUUUUGAGGAGAAUGAGAUGCUCUAUAUUUUCUUUUUCUUUCCUCACAGGUGGGUAUCUUGUACCCCUAAUUCUACUGUCGGACACUUGUCCAUUUUUACCUCUUGUCUCACUUUUUCUUUUCUUUCGAGGUUCCGGGCACUUGCCCCUUUUUAUUCCCUUGUAUUUCUUUUUCUCUCUUUUUUUAGAGCACUCAUCUCCUGAAAUAAUAUAGCAAAUGGUAGUAACCAAGAUAACUCGAGCAUUUAUUUCACAGAUAAAAACAGAAAUGUUUUUGGCUAUUCUCUCCCGGAUUAGGAGUAGAAUAUUUUUAGGUGGUUCUGCAGAUAGAAAUGAGUGGAUAUAUGUGGAUGCCUACUUCCGGAGUAGAAGCAGCAUGUGUGAGUGAACGUGCAAGUGAAUCUUGAUUUAACCACAUGACAAGCUCCUAAGGGUCUAUACAGCUUGACCACACUCAAUGCUCAUAAGCAGUAUAAAAAGUAAAUGUGUGGCUCAAAGUCUAGCAAGCAUGUAUAUAUAUGGCUGUGGUAGGAAUUUAAACUUUCAUCAUACAGGAACUCAUCAUGUCAUAUUUUAAAGAUUUUUAAAGAUAAAAUUCUCCAGAAUUCUAGCAUCUCUAAGAACAGAUAAACAGCAGCUCAACCUUCUCAUACCAUAUCCGUUAACAACUUAGACUUAAGAUCAAGUUCUCUUCCCACAAGUUCAGGUUUAGAGCAAGCUUUAAAUUAUAACAGUUAUGUCUAAACUAGAGAGAACUUCAAAUUUGAAAAUUAGAUAGAGCAACUAUUCAUCAUAUCCAUGCUAGAGUUUUAUUAUUAAGAUUCAGUUUAGCAUAGCCACUUUAUUUAUUUAUUAAGCAUACUAAGCAAAGG